rnacentral:lncRNA from 1 species
AUAAUAAUAAUAAUCAUGUUUCCAUAAAAUUGCUAAGUCCAGAGAUAAUACAUAAACAUAGUAGACUGUUCAUGACACAUAUCACGGUGGACAGUGUUUGUGUCCUUAUUACAAGCAACGAGAGAUGCUCGUCACCAACACGCGCGCGCACAGAUGCACGACAUACAUAUAGUAGAGACCAACAGAUGGUCGUCCCAUAUGGUGAACAAUUUAUUGGAGAUAAAUAUUAACGUAACUUGGCCAUAGCUUGAAGCAUAGCAACAUAUGCCUAUGAGUGGCAUUCAUGCUAUCGUUUUAGGCUUGUCCAGCUCCUUCCAUCUUAGCAAGCACUUCCAUUUCUACCAUCUUAGCAGCAACUGUCAAAUUGAGAUACGGAAAUCCCAUUAGCGCAUGAGUUAAUUUUGCAGUGGAAAUAGAGUACAAGAUGUCUUCAUGAUGUAAGUAAUAUGCCUGAAGUUGUGAGAUGGGAAGUGAAGUCAACAAAUUACAUUAACGGAAAUGCAUGGAAGGCCACACAUACGUAUUAGUCCAUGAUAUGCUACAAAGCUUGUAUGUACAUAUAGCAAAUUAAAUGCAUUAAUUGAAUAGAGUGUGUUUAGUGAAUUUACCAGAAUCGUCCAGAAAACAUGGGAAACAGCAAGUGUUCUUGCAGACUGCGUCGGAGGCACCCGCACGAAUACAAAGCUGACAACAUAGUUUUGCCUGGGCGGAUGCGCAGCAGCCGCACUCCGCCGCGGUGGGGUUAACAUUGAGGCUCAAGAUGACCAGGCACAUGAUCACCAUCAAAGUGGUAGUCCUCUUUCCCUCCAUUGCCUCCUCUUAGCUUGCUGCUACCUUCCUUGGUUACCUAGCUAAGUUUAUUGGUUUUGUGUUGAGAGGUGUGAUUCUUGAAUGGACGUUGCCGGCGGCAAUUUAUAGGCAGCUGAGCUAUGUGAUGAUAUGGACUAGGUGCAAAUGGGUGGUUAAUGGCAAGGAAAGGGGCGUCAGACAAAGCCCAAUGGCAACUGCUGACAUGCGAUUAAAUUCAGAUCCACAUCCGGCCAUUCAAUAAUACGGUUGGAGUUGUGGCACAGAUAUAUUAUUGCAUGAUCAUCAAGAUAAGAUCGUACAGUGACUGAGUGAGACAAUAAAUAGCCAAGUAAACUAUUUUAUCCUGCUGCAAGCUGCAUUCAUAAGUUUAUUUCACCUUUGAUCACAAUACUCUUCACACACGUACGUCUCAGGGAGAUCUCACUUCCGCUGGACUGCUCACUUCCGCUGUCGUCGGUACUGCCAAAGACAUAAGCUCACAUCUGCUAUUGCGGAGCAGGCCAAUUUGCUGCGGAACUUCGGCGACGACCUGAAGGACAUGAACUCGGUGCUGGAGUCCAUCUCAGCAGCGCUCUAGGACGCUGACACCGGUAGAAAAACGACCUUCCAUCGUCAACAAAAAUCCCGGUAGCUUUUUUACUCGGUACUAAAGAGGUUUUAAUCUCGUGCAAACACCUUUAGUCCAGAUUGCUAUUACCACGCAACCCGGACUAAAGCGUCCCCCGCGAGUUAGUAUAUAAGGAUUGCAUCCUUUACUCAGUCAGAUAUAAUAUGUAGGUGAGAUGGUAAGGAAGCUAUGCGUGAGGCUUCAGGUUGUGGGUUCGAAUCCAAGUGGGUGCAGCUGUGGCUUAAGCGGCUGAGGCACGCCGCCAUAGACAUCUCAGAUUUGCUCGAAGACUACCAAGACACUAGUGAACCCUUAACAGUAAAGGUGAGUACUUAUGAAUGUCAGCAUCCAUGUUGUCCAUGCUUCCAAUGUAAUAACAAGAUGGACUACUCUUCCUAGCGGACUCUUCACAACCACUCGUAAAGCUAUGCGUUUCUCAAUGCAAUUUCGUAGAAGCCAAUCGAUCCAACCAAGUGACUAAAUCAUUCGUCCUUUCCAAUGAUGUGCAUCAGGUUUUCUAUAUGAAGGGCAUGUCUAGCAAACCUAAGAUUUCAGAAGAAAAAGAAAAAUCAUUGGAGCCAAAGAGCCACAUAGUUCUUCUAGGAAAAAAAUCAUGGGAGUCGAGAACAUAUCAAACCAAUCAGGGGAUUAUGGUCAGCUUAAUGGCAUGCCUCCAUUCGAUGUCGAAGUUCACCCAAGCAUCAUGUUAGCCAAACAUCAAAUGUUCGUGCGUUGUUACGGUAAAGAUCAAUUGUGUUUUUUAAACUCUUGGAAUUUUUUUAUCUAAGUUUUUAUUUACACUUAUUGGAUGUCUACACAUUUGCUAGAAAACUAAAAUAAUUUGGACUUAAUUAUUUCUUUCAACUGAAGUACUCACUAAAUUUCUACCUUUUUAUUUAAGCAAGAGAGUUGCUAAAAAAAAUGGAUACGUAACCAUGUUGUAUCAUACAAAGUAACCACGUUUCACAUAUAGUCCGGCUUAGCAAACACCAUUGUUUUCUGAACAUAGCGUACAUGAGUUAACAGACAUGGAUUUAUUUCUAUUGCAAGUAGCAUAGCGUACAACCUGCCUGCACCGAUGCAGCUCAAUAUGCGAUAAUUUUUAUCUUCCCAUGUAAUUUUUCUACUCUAGUACAUAUUGAACUCCACAUUAAUGUCAUGUUCUUUCGCGCCCCAGAAGGUUCCUAAAGUUUGGAAACUUAAUAGAUAGCCAGAAUUUUUUUUAAAGAUAUUUAUAUGGAUACUUGUAUGUUCUUUCCAAACUAACAAUAUUGUUUACCAAUAUCAGAAGGAAUAUGGUUAGGAGCCAUUGCCGCAUAUGGCAGGUGAUGGUAGAUGGCGUAUGGGGUUUCGUUAAUUUAAUGGUAUAAUAAGCUGAAAUACAUUUUCUAUUUGCAAAUGAAUCAUAGCUGAAAUUGGUGGGAUUGUUUUUUCGCCGGUUUAGCAUCCUGUGCACCAGUUCAACCGGAGGGAAGCUGUUUUUUUUCUUUGGUUUUCCACCGGUUCACCGAGACCGAUGACAAUUUUAUGGCAGAAUCAUUACUUGUUUUACUAUUAGGUGAAGAUUUUAGCGUUUAGGUAUCUCACAUUAAACGCAACUUCAACAAUCUAUUUCUAGUGUAUAAUGUAGGAGACCCCGUAAAGAGUCUACACACACAUAUAUGUUGACUAUGAAUGUAAGUUUGUUGGUUUUAUGUAUGUUCGUUUGGAGUUUAUAUAAAUUUUACAUUUUAUAGUUUUGUGUAUAUGACGAAGAUCCAUGACUUGCAUUAAUUUAGCCUUUCUUCCAACAACUCUUAUGCAUGAUGUUUCUAGGCGAGCGUACUGGUUGCAAUUUUGGUCCCCGAUAUAGUGUGAGGACUUAAGGGACACGUGCAGGUCGUAACCUUAGAUAUUUUUGCUGAGAAUGGAUGAAGAAGCAAUAAUAUACUUUGCUUCUGAUUUUCUCCAUGUCAUUUGCUUACUCUUAUCCCUUUUAUUUAUCAUUAUAAGAUGAAAAUAUUGUAAAAACUUGGCUACGUGCGGUCGCAGAAGCUAGAGACUAAAGCGUCCCCCACGAGUUACUAUAUAAAAGGAUUGCAUCCUCUACUCAGUCAUAUGUACUGUGUAGGUGAGAUGGUAAGGAAGCUAUGUGUGAGGCUUGAGGUUGUAGGUUCGAAUCCCACGCACCGCGUGCGCAUGCGCAUAUUUUGCGUGAAAAAUCGCAUGACUUGUGGUCGGCCAAGGAGAAGUGCGUGCGGCUGAGGCACGCCGCCAUAGACAUCUCGGAUUUGCUCCAAGACUACCAAGACACUAGCGAACCCUUAACGGCAAAGUUGAGUACUUACGCGUGUUAGCAUCUAUGUUGUCCAUGCUUCCAAUGCAAUAACAAGAAGGGCUACUCAUCCUAGCGGAUUCUUCACAACCACUCGUAAAGCUAUGCGUUUCUCAAUGCAAUUUCGUAGAUGUCAAUCGAUCCAACCAAGCGACUGAAUCAUUCGUCCUUGCUAAUGAUGUGCAUCAGGUUUUCUAUAUGAAGAACAUGUCUAGCAAAUCCAAGAUUUCAGAAGAAAAAUAAAAAUCAUGAGAACCAAAGCACCACGUAGUUCUUCCAGGUAAAAAAAACAAUCAUCCACUGGGAUGACACACAGUAGCGAUCCAAAACGUCCAUAUUAAGACUUUUUGAUAGCAGAAAAAACAUGAAAAUGUCUAAUAUUUGUAGUAUUAAAAGGAAAAAUAAUAUAUUCACUUGACCUUUUUUUCGUAGCAACGCACCGGUGCGUAGUCAGACUUAGGCCACGUUUGGAUACUCCCUACUAAAGUUUAGCACCUGUCACAUAGGAUGUUUGGAUACUAAUUAGGAGUAUUAAACAUAGGCUAAUUAUAAAACUAAUUGAACAGAUGGAGUCUAAUUUGCGAGACGAAUCUAUUAAGCCUAACUAGUCCAUGAUUUGACAAUGUGGUGCUACAGUAACCAUUUGCUAAUGGUGGAUUAAUUAGGCUUAAUAGAUUCGUCUCGCGAAUUAACAUAGGGUUCUGCAAUUAAUUUUAUAAUUAGCUCAUGUCUAGUCCUUCUAAUUAGCAUCCGAACAUCUGAUAUGAUACUGCUAAAGUUUAUCACCUAGUAUCCAAAUACCCCCUUAAUGCACGAUGCCUGUGCAUCCACUGGGCCUACCCUCGUGGAUCACGCGCUCGUGGAUCACGCGCACCAUGACAUGGCUCAUUAGCUAGUCGUGCUAAUCCUUACCACCAAAUUAAAAACUAGCAUGUGUUGUGUGUUUGUGACCCUAAACGACUACCACCUUCCCGAGUCCACCGGAGUUGCCAGUUCACCACUAAGCUGACUCUCCGAGCUUCAUGUCACUGUCACCGCUCCAAAGACCUAGAUCGGUUCGCUGUGCACCCCGCUUCGUCCUGAGCUAAAUCCCAUCACGAAAGGUGACCGGAUGCUCGUUUUCGAGCGAAUUCUAGCGAGAUUGCCACCACCUUUCCCCUUCCAGCCGAUCGCAGCUGUCUGAUCACAAACCGACAGCCCAGAUCGGAUUUGACCAGGUCAAUACCGGUCAAGCCGAGAUGCAUGCUGCUUUUGCAAGAAGGCCCCUAUUUUUCUCUCUUUUUGCACUUGAGGUCCUACGCAGUUCAAAAGUAAUUAGAUCUAGAUCCUUUUUCUUCUGUUUUAGCCCUGUUCUUUUAUAAAAUCCCACCCGCCAUCCUGUUUGGUAUUUUGACAUGUUAGACCUUCUAUUUAUAUGUUUAAUUAGGUUUUAGCCCUUGGUUUCUUUAAGUUUAGCUCUUGGAAGUUUAGUUUUCUCGCAGUUAAGCCCCUGAACCUUGUUUAGUUCAUAUCUUUAGCGUUUUAAAUCCGUUUUAAGAGAUUCUUACGCCCAUAAGUUCGUGUUGAUGCAUAGAUUAGUUGACUUAUACGGACCUUGCUGAUUCAGCUCCUUCAUUGUGCUUCAGAUCUCGCUAGUGAAGAAUAAUGGAUGGGCUUUGGUUGAGCUUGUAGAUCGACCUGCAGUUGCAGUGAAUGUGCUGAGGACUGGCGGUACCAAUAAUGGGAGGCCGCUGCUCUGCUUGCUACCAAGGCCUGCGACGCUUGGACGCCAUUCAGAGUGCAUAAUUUCCAAGGAUCUCAAGGGCUCCACACCACGUUCCAAGUGUUUUUUCUUUGCCGAGUGUUUUUAGCUCGGCACUUGGCAAAGAGCUUGUUUGCCGAGUGUCCGAAAAAAACACUUGGCAAAGAGAAAACACUCGGCAAAUUUGAUGUUUCCCGUAGUGAUGUACUAUUCAAACUUGAACUGGGAUGCAGGCUUCAGUACCAAAGAGAGCUCUGGGCGCGGGUGAGCAGUGAGCUGGCCGGGCAGGGAGCUCCAAAGCGACAGCAACAAAGAGAGAAAUGCUAAGAGUAAGAACGACACACGAGGUCACUUCACAUAGAUAAUAGCAGUACGAACCAUACAAUAUCCUCUCUCAGUUUCACUCCGCCUCACACACGGCUAGCACACCAUGCAUGCCGAUUUCAUAUUAUUAAUAUUAUUUUUUGGAUGGUUGUUGAAACUAUAUAUAUAGUUAGUCCAAUCUCACGUUUCCGAUUAUAAAAAUCAACGUAAAGAGAUCGGUAGGGAGAGCCGGCAUAAUGAAGCCGACGCGUGUAAUAAGCACCAGAGCCGGCAUUUAUACAAACUGGUACGAAUAGUAAAAAACUAGAAUUUAUAAAUAAAAAAAUGAUUUGCACAUCUAUGCAAUAAUUAGGGGUUAGUGGCAGGUCUAGAGAGAUAUCUCAUCAUUAUAUCCGGUUUAACGAGGAUAAAAAAGAGUGUAUUUUCCACUCAUCAUGUUGUCUUUUCGCAGCGGUACCACUUUUCGUGUGUUGUAUCGGUCCCCUAAUACGGAGUCUCCGAGGCCCGAGAAAAUAAGGAAAGUGAUAGUAGCCCAGAAAUCGGCCAAGUUUCUUUCCCCUUUGGCUUUCCUACUAGGAUUCAGAAUCCUCUUUCGCAUGACAAUCUUAAUUAUCUCCCAUACUCCAAAACUCACAAAAACAUCAAGAGUCCGCUGAGAAUAAAUUUAAGUAAAAAACAUGCACACACAGAUAAUAAUAAUAAUCAUGUUUCCAUAAAAUUGCUAAGUCCAGAGAUAAUACAUAAACAUAGUAGACUGUUCAUGACACAUAUCACGGUGGACAGUGUUUGUGUCCUUAUUACAAGCAACGAGAGAUGCUCGUCACCAACACGCGCGCGCACAGAUGCACGACAUACAUAUAGUAGAGACCAACAGAUGGUCGUCCCAUAUGGUGAACAAUUUAUUGGAGAUAAAUAUUAACGUAACUUGGCCAUAGCUUGAAGCAUAGCAACAUAUGCCUAUGAGUGGCAUUCAUGCUAUCGUUUUAGGCUUGUCCAGCUCCUUCCAUCUUAGCAAGCACUUCCAUUUCUACCAUCUUAGCAGCAACUGUCAAAUUGAGAUACGGAAAUCCCAUUAGCGCAUGAGUUAAUUUUGCAGUGGAAAUAGAGUACAAGAUGUCUUCAUGAUGUAAGUAAUAUGCCUGAAGUUGUGAGAUGGGAAGUGAAGUCAACAAAUUACAUUAACGGAAAUGCAUGGAAGGCCACACAUACGUAUUAGUCCAUGAUAUGCUACAAAGCUUGUAUGUACAUAUAGCAAAUUAAAUGCAUUAAUUGAAUAGAGUGUGUUUAGUGAAUUUACCAGAAUCGUCCAGAAAACAUGGGAAACAGCAAGUGUUCUUGCAGACUGCGUCGGAGGCACCCGCACGAAUACAAAGCUGACAACAUAGUUUUGCCUGGGCGGAUGCGCAGCAGCCGCACUCCGCCGCGGUGGGGUUAACAUUGAGGCUCAAGAUGACCAGGCACAUGAUCACCAUCAAAGUGGUAGUCCUCUUUCCCUCCAUUGCCUCCUCUUAGCUUGCUGCUACCUUCCUUGGUUACCUAGCUAAGUUUAUUGGUUUUGUGUUGAGAGGUGUGAUUCUUGAAUGGACGUUGCCGGCGGCAAUUUAUAGGCAGCUGAGCUAUGUGAUGAUAUGGACUAGGUGCAAAUGGGUGGUUAAUGGCAAGGAAAGGGGCGUCAGACAAAGCCCAAUGGCAACUGCUGACAUGCGAUUAAAUUCAGAUCCACAUCCGGCCAUUCAAUAAUACGGUUGGAGUUGUGGCACAGAUAUAUUAUUGCAUGAUCAUCAAGAUAAGAUCGUACAGUGACUGAGUGAGACAAUAAAUAGCCAAGUAAACUAUUUUAUCCUGCUGCAAGCUGCAUUCAUAAGUUUAUUUCACCUUUGAUCACAAUACUCUUCACACACGUACGUCUCAGGGAGAUCUCACUUCCGCUGGACUGCUCACUUCCGCUGUCGUCGGUACUGCCAAAGACAUAAGCUCACAUCUGCUAUUGCGGAGCAGGCCAAUUUGCUGCGGAACUUCGGCGACGACCUGAAGGACAUGAACUCGGUGCUGGAGUCCAUCUCAGCAGCGCUCUAGGACGCUGACACCGGUAGAAAAACGACCUUCCAUCGUCAACAAAAAUCCCGGUAGCUUUUUUACUCGGUACUAAAGAGGUUUUAAUCUCGUGCAAACACCUUUAGUCCGGAUUGCUGUUACCACGCAACCCGAACUAAAGCGUCCCCCACGAGUUACUAUAUAAGGAUUGCAUCCUUUACUCAGUCAGAUAUAAUGUGUAGGUGAGAUGGUAAGGAAGCUAUACGUGAGGCUUCAGGUUGUGGGUUCGAAUCCAAGGAGAAGUGGGUGCAGCUGUGGCUUAAGCGGCUGAGGCACGCCGCCAUAGACAUCUCAGAUUUGCUCGAAGACUACCAAGACACUAGUGAACCCUUAACAGUAAAGGUGAGUACUUAUGAAUGUCAGCAUCCAUGUUGUCCAUGCUUCCAAUGUAAUAACAAGAUGGACUACUCUUCCUAGCGGACUCUUCACAACCACUCGUAAAGCUAUACGUUUCUCAAUGCAAUUUCGUAGAAGCCAAUCGAUCCAACCAAGUGACUAAAUCAUUCAUCCUUUCCAAUGAUGUGCAUCAGGUUUUCUACAUGAAGGGCAUCUCUAGCAAACCCAAGAUUUCAGAAGAAAAAGAAAAAUCAUUGGAGCCAAAGAGCCACAUAGUUCUUCCAGGAAAAAAAAAUCAUGGGAGUCGAGAACAAAUCAAACCAAUCAGAGGAUUAUGGUCAGCUUAAUGGCAUGCCUCCAUUCGAUGUCGAAGUUCACCCAAGCAUCAUGUUAGCCAAACAUCAAAUGUUCGUGCGUUGUUACGGUAAAGAUCAAUUGUGUUUUUUAAACUCAUGGAAUUUUUUUUCUAAGUUUUUAUUACACUUAUUGGAUGUCUACACAUUUGCUAGAAAACCAAAAUAAUUUGGACUUAAUUAUUUCUUUCAACUGAAGUACUCACUAAAUUUCUACCUUUUUAUUUAAGCAAGAGAGUUGCUAAAAAAAAUGGAUACAUAACCAUGUUGUAUCGUACAAAGCAACCACAUUUCACAUAUAGUCCGGCUUACCAAACACCAUUUUUUACUGAACAUAGCGUACAUGAGUUAAGAGACAUGGAUUUAUUUCUAUUGCAAGUAGCAUAGCGUACAACCUGCCUGCACCGAUGCAGCUCAAUAUGCGAUAAUUUUUAUCUUCCCAUGUAAUUUUUCUACUCUAGUACAUAUUGAACUCCACAUUAAUGUCAUGUUCUUUGGCGCCCCAGACGGUUCCUAAAGUUUGGAAACAAAAUAGAUAGCCAGAAAUUUUUUUAAAAAAUAUUUAUAUGGAUAUUUGUAUGUUCUUUGCAAACUAACAAUAUUGUUUACCAAUAUCAAAAGGAAUAUGGCUAGGAGCCAUUGCCGCAUAUGGCAGGUGAUGGUAGAUGGCGUAUGGGAUUUCGUUAAUUUAAUGGUAUAAUAAGCUGAAAUACAUUUUCUAUUUGCAAAUGAAUCAUAGCUGAAAGUGGUGAGAUUGUUUUUUCGCCGGUUUAGCAUCCUGUGCACCGGUUCAACUGGAGGGAAGCGGUUCACCGAGACGGAUGACAAUUUUACGGCAGAAUCAUUACUUGUUUUAUUAUUAGGUGAAGAUUUUAGCUUUUAGGUAUCUCACAUUAACAAUCUGUUUCUAGUGUAUAAUGUAGGAGACCCGUAAAGAGUCUACACACACAUAUAUAUGUUGACUAUGAAUGUAAGUUUGUUGGUUUUAUGUAUGUUCAUUUGGAGUUUAUAUAAAUUUUACAUUUUAUAGUUUUGUGUAUAUGACGAAGAUCCAUGACUUGCAUUAAUUUAACCUUUCUUCCAACAACUCUUAUGCAUGCUGUUUCUAGGGGAGCGCACUGGUUGCAAUUUUGGUCCCCGAUAUAGCAUGAGGACUUAAGGGAGACGGGCACGUCGUAACCUUAGAUAUUUUUGCAAGAAGCAAAUUAUACUUUGCUUUUGAUUUUCUCCAUGCCAUUUGCUGACUCUUAUCCCUUUUAUUUAUCAUUAUAAGAUGAAAAUAUUGUAAAAACUUGGUUACGUGCGGUCGCAGAAGCUAGAGACUAUUUCUUUUUUUAAAAAUACGCAAGAGGGAGAAACUUGGUAACAGCUAGACAGUGAAGAUCGCAUUUCAUAAGAAAGAUGGUGCACGUUCUUGUUUGGCUGUUAACGAAAUGACUUCGUUUCACCACACCACCAGAGAGCCCCAUUGCACUUGCAGCAAAAGCGUGGAGCCGCUUUCAACCAGCGUGCAAUAAUGCAGUCCCGCGUGUCUUGGUCUUACAGGAUAUUUGGUUCUUUAGUCCGGACUAAAAUUCAUGUCGCAUAGAAUAUUCAGAUGUUAAAUAGGAGGACUAAACAUGAGCUAAUUAUAAAAAUAAUUACACAAAUGGAGGCUAAUUCCCAAGACAAAUCUAUUAAGUCUAAUUAAUCCAUCAUUAGCACAUGUUUACCGUAGCACCGUAUUGUCAAAUCAUGGACUAAUUAGGCUUAAUAAAUUCGUCUCGCAAGUUAGUCUCCAUCUAUACAAUUUGUUUUAUAAUUAGUCAAUGUUUAAUACUCUAUCUAAACAUUCAAUGUGACUGAAAUUUUAGGAGGUCCUAAAGAACCAAACACCCCUUAGUCUCCGCCUGAACUAUAGCAGGUGCUGGCAGCGGUAGCAGGGUCGUCCAUUAUAUCUAUGGAUGGAAAUGAUCUGAUUCGGAUGGAAUCGAAUUCGAAUAGCACUUUUUACCACAUACUAAUCUGAAUUGGAUGUUCUCGAAUGUGAAUGCAAAACGGAUAGUUCAAAUUUGAAUACUUUGCGGAUUUUUGCAUAAUAUUAAUCGAAGAGAAUUUGUUAAAUUUAGCCGAGACAUAAAUUUUUCUAAAUUCAAAUACUUUGCAGAUUUUCGAAUGCAAAUUUUUUCAUACGAUCUCGGUUGAAUACAAACUUUAUAUCAAAGUUGUAUAUUUAGAUUAUAUAUAAAACUUUGUAGUUGACCUCCUUUUCAUUUAAAAUUUUUUAAUAGCUCAAAACAUUAUUCUAAGCUUUCUAAUUUCAAAAUCUUGAAUUUUAAAUUUUUCAAACGACCUCGGAUGCAAACAAGCUCUAUAUCAAAGUGCUUAAUGAGAUAUAAAAUUUUGUAGUUGACAAGUUUUUUAGUUGAAAACAUUUAGUUAUCACAAACAUACAAGUUCUUCAUUUGAUGUCGAGGAUUGGAAGUGUUGAGUUUGAAGAAUAUAUUCUUUGAUUACAAACUUUUCCAUAUGAUCUUGGAUGAAUACGAACUUUAUUUCAAAGUUGCAAAUUUAGAUUAGACCAAAAACAGUAUAGUUUACAAUUUUUUCAUUCAAAAUUAUUUAGUAGCUCAAAAUGUUAUUCUAAACUCUCUAAUUUUGAAAUCUUGAAUUUUAAAAUUUUCAAAUGACCUCGGAUGCAAACAAGCUCUAUAUCGAAGUGGUAGUUCUUAAUGAGAUAUAAAAUUUUGUAGUUCCAUCUGAGAUCAUUUAACAGUCACAAAUAUACAAGUUUUUCAUAUGAUGCUAAGGAUCAGAAAGAUUAAGUUUGAAGGCUGUAUUUUUUUAAUACAAAUUUUUGCAUACGAUCUCGGAUGAAUACAAACUUUAUAUCAAAAUUGUAGAGCUCGAUGAGAAUUUAAACUUUGUAGUUGAUAUAUUUUUCAUUCGAGAAUGUUUAGUGGUCCAAACAUGUAUUAUAAGUUCAGAGAAGAAACACACAAUCGGCCACGUCAUCAAUUGACAACUUCCAAACUGAGCAUUCCUAUUGGUUCACACCUUUCCCUUUCAACUCGUCAAGCUUAUCUCCUCCCACUCCUCCAUCGUUCACUCCCCCUUCCCCUUCCUCUCUCCCUCCCUCCCUCCGCUCCAGCAGUGGCAGCCCGACCUGCCUCCUAGGACGGUGGUGUGCGGGGCUCGGGCAUCCCUGGCCUCUAGUGGCGUGGCAGGGCGGCCUCCAGCAGCGAUGGCGGAACUCGGCCUCCGGUGGCGCACAGGCAGCGCAGCCUACCUGGUCAAAGGCGGCGCAACAGGGCGACCUCCCCAGCCUCCGGCGGCGCGCAGGGCAUCCAUGACCUCCCCGGCCUCCCUUGCCAGAGGUGGUGCGCGGGGCUGCGCCGACCUCCCCAACCAGAGGUGGCAAGGCCCCAGCUUACGGCGGCGCGUGGCUCCCCAGCUAGGGUGUGGUGGGGCGGCGGCAAGUCAGGCGUGGCCGCGUGGGGGUGGGGGGAGGGGGUUGGGCUGGGCGGAUUCAGAUAGUAUCCAUUUAACCAUCCGAAAUGUGGAUAUCCGUUUAACAAUCCGUUUAGCAAAACCGAAUUUGGAUACUUCCACUUAAGUAUCCAACUAGGAUUCGAAUGCGGAUGGUCCUACCAUAUUGUUAUUUCAGCGGAUACGAAUAUGGGAUAAUUCGAAUAACGACUUACCCAUCCCUGAUUAUAUCCGUGUAAAUAAAUAAUUGCGGCAGCAGGUUCCCGUCGCCACGCCCCCGUCAAACCAAACAAUUGCUUGCGCGACACCGUGUUACUAGAUCUUGUACAGUACUCCCUCCGUUGCAGUACUCCCUAAUGAAAGUUGAGAAUCGAUCGACAACCACGGCUAGUUGCUAUGCACUCGAUCAGAUGGUCCAGGCGCCCGCUGGUAAUCAGGUCGUGGUUCACGCGCAUCAGGCCAGCUAUGACGUUGCCAGCAGUGCUCAGUACACAAAUCUAGCUAUCAGUCGGAUCCAAUUGGGCAGGCAUUUGCACUGUGGUUGUGUUUGAACCUGUAGAUGUCGUUGUCAUUAUCAGGCACCAUACAUCCUCUCUCAGAGGGUGUUUCACCCCCUAAACUUUAGCCCCUCUCACAUCGAAUGUUUUAGAUACUAAUUAGGAAUAUUAAACAUAGAAAAUUUACUAAACCCAUUACAUGGAUGGAGGGUAAACGGCGAGACAAAUCUAUUAAAUCUAAUUAGUCCAUGAUUUGACAAUGUGCUGCUAUAGUAACUAUUUGCUAAUGAUGGAUUAAUUAGACUUAAUAGAUUUUUCUUGCUGUUUAGCCUCCGUCUGUGCAAUUAGUUUUAUAAUUAAUUCAUAUUUAGUCCUCCUAAUUAGUCUCCGAAUAUUUGAUGUGACACGGACUAAACUUUAGAUAGCACACCAGGGACCGACACCAUGCAUGCUGAUUUCAUAUCAUAAUUAAGGAAAGUGAUAUCAUAAUUAAGGAAAGUGGUAGCAUCCAAGAAAUCGAUCAUGUUUCUUCCCCCUUUGGCUUUCCUACUAGGAUUUGGAUAGCGGGCCUUCCUACUAGGAUUUGGAAUCCGCUAUCGCAUGACUAUCUUAAUUAUGUCCCAUAGUCCAAAACUCACAAAACAUCAAAAAUCCAUCGAGAAUAAAUUAAGUAAAAAACAUGCGCACACAGAUAAUAAUAAUAAUAAUCAUGUUUCAAUAAAAUUGCUAAGAUUAGAGAUAGUACAUAAACAUAUUAGAUUGUUCGUGACACAUAUCAUGGUGGAUAGUGUCUGUGUCCUUAUUACAAGCAGCGAUAGAUGCUUGUCACCACACACACGCACGCACAGAUGCACGACAUACAUAUAGUUGAGACCAACGGAUGGACGUCCCAUAGGGUGAAUAAUUUAUUGGAGAUAAAUAUUAACAUAACUUGGCCAUAGCUUGAAGCAUAGCAACAUAUGCUUAUGAAUGGCAUUCAUGCGGGUAGCAAUGCUAUCAUAUGCUUUUAGGCUUGUCCUUAGCUUCUUCCAUCUUAUAGCAAACACUGCCAUUUCUUCCAUCUUAGCAGCAACUGUCAAAUUAAUUGAGAUAUGGAAAUCCCAUUAGCGCAUGAGUUAAUUUUGCAGUGGAAAUAGAGUAGAAGAUGUCUUCAUAAUGUAAGUAAUAUGACUCUGACAUAGGGAGUGAAGUCAACAAAUUACAUUAACGGAAAUGCAUGGAAGGCCACGCAUAUGUAUUAGUCCGAUAUGCUACAAAGCUUGUAUGUACAUAUAAUAAAUUAAAUGCAUUGAAUAGAGUGAUUUUAGUGAAUUUACCUAAAUCGGAUUAAAAAACAUGGGAAACAACAAGUGUUCUUGUAGGGCUUUGUUUAGUUCCCAAAUUGGGAGUAGCAAAGUUUGCAUUUUACCAUAAAUGCGCAACUAUAGCAUGUAGCAUUUUGUUUGUAUUUGUGAAUUAUUAUCCAAACAUUGACUAAUUAGGCUCAAAAGAUUCAUCUCGCAAAGUACAACAAAACUGUGCAAUUAGUUUUUGAUUUCGUCUACAUUUAGUACUCCGUGCAUGUACCGCAAGUUUGAUGUGAUGGGGAAUCUUGCUUUUCAAUAGUGACAAAGUUGGGAUUUCGGGGGGAAGGCCUGUGUCGGAGCCACAUGCAAGAAUGGCUGACAUUGAGGCUCAGACAAAGCCCAAUGGCAACUGCUGACAUGCGAUUAAAUUUAGAUAUCCACAUCCAGCCAUUCACAUUUAUGAGAUAUGGACACGGUGCAAAUGGGUGGGGUCCUGAUAUGGAGGUGCGAAUGGCUGUCUACUUGUAUAGUGUAGCUCCAAUGUACGUAUAUGUAUCUUAUGCAUGUAUACAGUUGCACAAACUCUGAACCAACUCUUCAUAACAGGUCUUUGUUACCAAGUAACUUUACUUUUGCACGUUUCAGCCGAGAGGUAGAAGAGAAUAUUUUUGCAUUUUCCAUGUGCGUCAGUGGUAGAGAACUAGGAAUUAGUUCCGGAUGGUAGGGCACAAAUCUUCCAAACAACUAUCCGAAAUUAAGCAAUCGAGAUAAAGGGUGCCAUCUAUUCUCUCCGAAAAACACAGGUACCAAAAAGAAGAAGAGAAGAGGGAGGGCCUCCCGUUAAGGCCCGCUCGGGGUCUCCAUCCCACCACGCGCCCUCCCAACCCAAAGCCCAUCGUUUUCCCUCCGUCCCUCCCCUCUCCAUUGCCGCCGCCGCUCCCCUCAUCCGAGCUCGAUACGGGUGGUCGGCGGCCCCUCCUCUCCGCUCCCGCCCCCGGCCUCCCUUUGACCGCCGGGCGCCGGCAUCACUGCCGCGGCCAACCCCAGGGCGCAGCGCGUGCCUCUAUUUCUCUCCCCCGUUCAAGGGCCCUUUGAUGGCGACGAGCACCCACCCACCAGGUAUGCCCUCCCCUUCUCUUCCUAACCCUAAUAUAUUCGGAUCUCACCCAGUCACAAUAUAUUACCUAAUAGCUUCGAUUUUGUUUGCAAAAAUCAUCACGUGCGCACCCAUGUCCGCUAGAUUCUUGCGCCUGAUCCUGUGCUGCUAUGGUUUGGGCGGGGUAGACUAGUUGAUUCGUGCACUUUUGGGUGCUUGUAGUGCUAGGUUUUGGAGGGGGAUAGCCCAGUUGAUUCCUCCGUUUUGGGUGCUCAUGGUGAUAGGAUUUGGAUGGGGAUAGCCCCAAUGAUUCGUGCGCCUUUGGGUGCUGGGGAUAGUUUUGGGUGCCUGGAUAGUCCAGUUUCAAUGUCAGUAUAUGCGUAUUUUGGGGAGAAUUUUGUUUUGGGUGGUUCUGGUGCUAGAGUUUCUGAUGCUUAGUAGCCCAGUUUCAAUCAAAUUCCCCCAUGGGUCGUGCACUACGGGAAACAAGAAAAUUGCCGAGUGUAUUUUUUUUGUCGAGUGUUUUUUUUCGAGCACUCAGCAAACAAGCUCUUCGCCGAGUGCCAAGUCAAAAACACUCGGCAAAAAAAAACACUCGGCAAAUCGGGGCUUUGCCGAGUGUCAAAUAAAAAACACUCGGCAAAGAAGGGGGUUUGCCGAGUGUUAAAAAAAACACUCGGCAAACAGGAGGGUUUGCCUAGUGUUUUUUUGACACUCGGCAAAAAAAUAAUUGUUUUUCCUCUUUUCACCUUGAAAUUUUUUCUACUCCCCACAUACAACACGUGGUACUCCAUGUUAAAAUUUGGUAUAUUUUUGGAUUUAUUUGCUAUAUUUAUUUAAUUAAUUGCAUUACAAGGAAAUUUUUGGUAUAAGUCAAAUUUGAACUGCAAGUGAUUCAAAUUGUGGAACAAAAUGAGUAGAAAAAUGAUAUUCAUGUUAUUUGGCUCAAUUUGAGACCUGACCCAUGAAAUGAAAAGAAAUUUCGAACAUCUUGUUCAGGAAACACGACAAUGAACAUGUGGCGGUAGUAUUUUUAAAUUGUAAAAAAAACAAGCAAAGUCUGAAAAUCAUGAGAUUUGUAGUUAUGUGAUGAUAUAAUACGUGGAAGCUGUGGAAAAAAAUUGGAAAGGUUUUGCACAUUUCAUCAUGUACGAUGAUUACAAACCGAAGCAUAUCAGAAGAAGAAUAGUAACUUUGAGAAGGAUUCGAUAAAAUUUAGAGUCGAAGUGACGGUCGAGUUCGGUUUGACUACAAAACUUUUUGUAUAGUCAGUAGAGAACAUAUCUUAUUUCGUGUGAAAAUUUGGUAUUUUUUGAAACUGUUGGAUAUUUUUAAUUUUUUUUUAAAAAAACUUUGCCGAGUGUCCUAGGGUAGACACUCGGCAAAGAAAAACUUUACCGAGUGCCCGCCUAGGACACUCAGCGAACCUUUUUUUAAACCUACCGGCUCCGGCCGGCCCAGCCCACAAACACCACCCGCCCCCCGCCCCCGCGCCUUCUUCCUCACGCCGCCCCCGCCCCCCACCCGUGCCUCCGGACCGCCCCCUCCUCCCCCUGGCCUCCCCUCACGCCGCCCCCCUCCUCCCCUAGCUCCCUCCACCGGCGGCCCUCCCUCCCCCGGCGCACAUCCUCCACUCCUCCUCCCCUUCCCUUCCCUCCCCUCCCCUCCCCUCUUCCUCCCCUGGCCGGAUCUGGCGCCCCUAGCUCCCCUUUCUUCCGCGGCCAGAUCUGGCGCCCUCCCGGCGGCGGGUCGUGGCGAUCGGGGCGGCGGCGGCGGAUCAGGCCGCGGGGCGGCGGCGGCGGCGGGUCGUGGCUACCGGGGCGGCGCCCUGCCCCUCCCCUCCCUCUCCAUCUCCGGCUGCCGUCCACCCCCUCCCCGGAUCCGCCCCCCUCCCCUCCGCGCGGCCAGCCCCUCCUCCCUCUCCGGCCGCCGCCCCGGCCCCUCCUCUCCCUUUCUCCGGCCACCGCCCCGCCCAUCUUCUCUGGAUCCGGCCGGAUCCGGCCGCCGCACAGCCCCUCCUCCCCGGAUCCGGUGGGCGCGGACUUCGUGGUGGUGGCGCCGGAUCCCUCCCCUCCCUCUCCAGAUAACUCCCUCCACUCCUCCGCUCUUCCCCUCUCUCGCGCGGCGGCCUCUCUCCGGCCGCCGCCCCGCCCCUCUCCCCGGAUCCGGGGGGGGGGGGACUCCGCCCCUCUGCCCCGGAUCCAGCUCCCCGACCCGCGAGUGGGGCGAGCUUGCUCAUGCGGUCGACGUCGAGGCCAGGGUGUGGUGGAGGUGGUGGCCGGCGGGUGUGGUGGUGGUGGCGGCGGCGGGCAUGGCGGCGCGGAGGCAAGGCACGGCGGCCGGUGGGAGGCACGGGUGCAAGGCGUCGACGGCAGGAGGCAAGGCACGGCAGCAUGGGAGGUGGUGCUGUGGUGGUGGUGCUGGCGGUGGUGGCGGCGGCGGAGCAGGAUGUGGUGGUGGCGGAGGAUGUUUUUUUUUCAAAAAUUUGUUGCCGAGUGUUUUCUCGGCACUCGGCAAAGACUUUACCGAGUGCCCGACACAAAACACUCGGCAACUCAGUGUUUGCCGACUGAAAAAUUGCCGUGUGCCGUUUGCCGAGUGUUACACUCGGCAAACGGUUCGCCGAGGGUUUUUUGCCCUUCGCCGAGUGCCCCUAGCACUCGGCAAUUUCACUAUCUCCCGUAGUGGUGGCUGGACUUAUGGGGGGAUCAUUGAUGGGGGACUAGUUGGAUACUUUUUGGCUGUUUUGGGAGUCCUUGGCAGCGGCUUCUCAGGGCGUACGUAGCCCAUUGUAGAUUCCAGCCGAGAAGAUUAAGGAAUUGUGACUGCAACCAUGUUACUUUUCUAGGACUCUGUUUCUGAUAUUGUUCCCGCUGCAUCUUUUCAUCCCCAUGGUGAAUGUUGCUGUUGAUCUGUAGAUUGGAUUUGUUCCUCGGUAGCUUUAUUAGAUUUGUGCUGAAUGAUAAUCUCUGCCUGUGAUAUUUUUCUUCAUUGCGGAUGUGUGCCGAGUAUUAUCCCCUUUGUUCAUUCUGUUGGCUUUUUUUAUUGUCUCUGUACUCGGCUGUUCAGCUUGUGCAGCUAAUGAUCUAAUGUAUUUUGUCGUAACUAUGUAUUUUUCGGAUGUGUGCCGAGUAUUAUCCCCUUUGUUUAUUCUGUUGGCUUGCUUUCAUUGAUCUUAAGAUAACUGGUGCUAUAAAUUCACACUAGCUGAUGCACUUGCAAAUAGCUAUGUAAAUAUGAAAAGAAGUAUUUUUUUAUCCUUUUGUUUGUUUGGCAUCAUAUCUGUUUAAAUGGCAUAGCAAUAAGAAUUUUUUGUUUUUGGGGAAUCAUAUCUGCUUAAAUGGUAUAGAAAAUGCUGAGUGCACUGUCAAAUAGAUUUUCCAGCAGUCUGCUUUCAGUUGUUUUUGCAAAUCCUCACAGGCCAGUGAACUGACUUUGUUUUUACCACCCCAUGCCAUUUAAAUGACUAAAUCAGUCAGCCUAAUACUAUAUAUGGUCAUGCUAUGAUCUUAUUUCUUGAAGCUCUAUAGGUCAACCCAUAAGGGUAACUUAGUUUUUCCUAUUCUGGCUGGGGAAGUGGAUACGAUGGCUAUCCUUGGUAGAGUUAAAUACAUUGGCGGCUCUUAGCGCGCCAAUGUGGCACCACAAUAUCGAACAUAUGUAGAAACCCCCUUGUUUUUUCUCAUAUCCCUCUCUCUCAGCGUCCUCUUCUCUUCUUCUCCUCUGUCUCCUCCCCUCCCAUCGCGUGCUUUAUUGCGCCGCCGCCAUCCGCCUCCAUGUAUGAACACGUCGUUUGUCAUGAAGAAGCAGUUGAUGAGGCAAUCAAGCAUGUGGUGCACAAGGUUCUUCUGCUGGCCAAGUCCGAGUCGAACAGCCGCGCAUUCAUUGGGGAAGCACGCGCCAGGCAUCACCAGGCUCCUCGUGCCCCUACUCUGCUCCAAGGACUCGGUGCUUCGACGCGCUGCUUUCCCUGUCCGGCGAGCGGGGAUCGUUGGGAGAUGAUCGAUGGAGGAUGGAGCUGAUCCUCCUGUACACGGUGCCGGUGGGGAGCAGGGAGCUGCGGAGCAGGUCCACGGGCGGCGCCAUUACAGCAGGUGCAGGCUAAGGGUAAUGAGCAGAUCGAGGCGAUGGAGGAGGACCCGCACGAGGUGCAGCUUCUUCGCCUCCUGCGCAAAGUCAGCGCCCAAGCAGCCGCUGAGGGACAGGCCGAGGCUUAGCUCGAUCUCAUCCGACUAAAUGGUGGCUGCACUCCCACAGUCCCACUGGUGCUCCUCCCUUCUGUCCGAACCUGCCGAGGAAAUCCCUCGAUGCCAUGGGUCCCGGCUGGACGACUACUCCUCCCACAGAUUGACUGAGGAAGAAGAGCUUCUCAGUGUCCAAAAAUUCAGUUACACUGGAAACAGCAACCAAUUACGUUCUUCCGGCUCAGCCAAGCCCCAAUCUCCUUGCUUCUGUGCGCCCCUGCUAAAUAUUCCAGAAACCAAUCUGGUUAGUUGUUUUUUCACAUUUUCAGUGCAUGCCGGUGCUGCUGUGUGCGGCAUGCAUGGAGUUGUCGUGGGAGUGCACGGUGGCUUAGCUGGUGCGCCAGUGCGCGGGCACGAACACAACGGUGAAGAUGGCAGGGCCAUCUCAAAGCUCCUGAGCACCUGCACGCGUCGCUGAGCAGGACAUGCUGCGACGGUGGGCGAGCGCUGCUAACGCCCUGGGGAAGAGCAGUGGGUGCAGAGAGAGGGAGCGAGGGAGAGGGGUUCUUGUAUAUGUUUGCUAGCGUGGCACCGUUUACGGUGCCCGCCUAAGUGGCAUUCACGUGUCAUUCAUCCCAAAUGGUGUUGCAAGGUUGAACCUAUUGUGGGAGGCUUUUGGUUUCCCUUGACAGUAUCACCAGUGAUAUCACUGCGUUCUGGUUAUGUAUGAAACACUUGUCCUUUUAAAACCUUUCUGAAUUUAGAAACGAAUUUGAAACAUUACCCUCAUUUCCAUGUUUUUCUAUCUUUUGUCCCUGUAAAAUCAAACUAAAUUUGAAUUAUUAUGUUCAGAACUACAAGCUGAUUUACUUGUCCCAUUUGCUAAUAACAGGGCCUUGUGAUUUCUAAUGAACAUUGCAGAGCAUGUUAUAAAGCGUAUGCAUGAACACCAAGGGGAUGAAACCAUUGGUAUAUUUCUCACAACCUUUUGAACUUAUCAUUUAGCAUAUUUGUGUUCUAGUGUGACGUUUCAGCCACGAGACAUGAGAAAUGUUAGCUAUGGAUUUUGGUUAUUCAUCAUGGGUUCACAGAUUUGUUUUUCUCUAAAAGAAUUGGGAAGUAGCUUUCUUUCUGGGUAUAUGUGGGGAAAUGCAUAUGCAAUCUUUUAUUUAUUGAGGUGACUGUAAAAUUCUUGUCUGACUGAAUAUGCGAUUUCAACCUACAUGCUAUACUUAGGGAAAUUUGUGAAUCUCCUAAUGUCUGCUGCAUGGCAUGAAUGCAUAUUUUACUGGUCCAUAAUGUGAAGUUCUGUAUAUAAACUUCUCGUGUUGACCCUUUAGAACAUGCUAACUGGAGAGUUUUCUAGAGUAGUUAAACAAGAGAUUUAGUUAAAUCUGCACACAUAGGUGGGGCCUGGCAUACCCUAAGAAUCGGCCUAGCCGGUCAGCCCAUUAGUAAAAAAAAAAGCACCGCAGUCAGCAGUCCCCACGUUGGUCUUCCUCGAGUCGCGACUCGCGAAGCUCCCAUCCUCCGAGUCCAAGAUGGUGGACUGUGUCGAGCGCGGGGCGGGCGAUUAGUUGCCCGGCCGCCGGCGGGGGAUGGCCGGACGGCCAGAUCGCCGACUCCUCUAGUCCUCCCUCCAGCCUCUGCGCUUCUUUCACAGUGGAGCUAGCGGCGAGGCGCCCGACCGACACCCUUCUUCCCAAAUCCCGGCAGCCCUACCUCGAUUUGGCCUCCUCCGAUCAUUUGAUAAUCAAUUUGAUGAAAUUAAUAUGGAGUUGCUUUCUUGUAUGGUUGCCUUCAAUCCUGCUAAUUCAUUUGCUUCAUUUGAUGCACAAAAGAUACAUAGACUUGCUAUAUUUUUAUCCACAAGACAUCACAAGCACGGAUUUGCUAAAACUUGAAUUCCAGCUCGAUAUUAUAUUGAUGAUGUGAGAUAGGAUGAUAGUUUCAAAGGCCUACAAGAUCUUGUUAACUGAGACUCAGUUAAGCUUGUUGAAACAAACAGGCAUAAUAUUUAUGACUUGGUUUACUUGCUUCUCAAAUUGGUAUUGGUUCUUCUUGUGGCGACAGCUAGUGUUGAAAGGGAUUUUUGUGCAAUGACUUUGAUCAAGAGUAAGCUAAGAAAUAAGAUGGGUGAUAGUCUUUUGGAUGAUUGUCUUAUCACAUUCAUUGAGAAAGAUAUUUUCUUUGAAGUGGAUGAAGAAGAUAUAAUUAAGACUUCAUAUCCAUUAGAAAUCGUAGGCUGGAGAAGAAGUAAUAUUUUAAUUUUCUUUGAACGUUAGGUCUGUAAGCUUCUUUUAAACUAUCUACAUUAUAAUUUAUGGACCUUUUAAUUUAACCGUUGAAUUCAUGAUAUUAUGAGAUUUUUUUAUCUAUGUUAUUAUUGUUUACCGAUUUAUUACCAAAUUAUUAGUUUGAUCUUACAAUAUUGUAUUUUGGAUGAUUGGCUCGGCAUACUCUAAGUUUAAAUCCUAGCUCCGCCACUGUUUGCACAUUAAUGUGGCUUAUAUGUGUGGAGUCACUUAACCUAUGCACUUGGACCUCCACUCCCUUAGGUUUUAUGAACCUAAUUUGACAGCCUGCUCGUCUUUUAUUUUCUACCAAUCAGCUAGGAACGAACAUGGUGAUGUUUGCAUCUCUGCCAUCAAUGGCUUACAUGUCAUUAUGUAUCACAUUAGCAAGUCUUGUUUUGUUAUUGGCUGGGAUGACGGGGACUCUAGCUGGAAUUGAAUCAAAGUGGUAGAUCACAGGGUAUUCAUUGCCAUGUAUUUCUGCAGUUGCAUGGACUUGCAUCAAACGGACCUUCCUACUUAUGUGAUUGUCCUAUAUGAUCUCCUUUGAUUUCAUUUGCACACUGUAAUCACAUUAGCUAGAACACUCGCUUUUUGCUUCAAAUUUGAAAUUCAUAUCAUGAUGGACUAGAACGCUGAAUUUCUUGAUUGCUGAGUUACUAAUCACAUUGUGGCGCUGCCAAAGAAGCUGGACUCUUCAUUGUUGUUGCCUUGUGGGCUGCCGUGUGCAAAGAACAAGAGCGCACGGUAUUAUAAUAGCAGAGCAGAACACAGACAAGCGACAAGGAGCGGAGCAGAGCAGAGCACAGCCAGGCACAAGCAGUAGAGUAGAGCAGAGCAACCGGGAGAGGAGAGGGCACAUAUGCAGAGUAGAGCAGAGCCAAGCGCAAGCAUUCAUGCACUCAAGCAUGCAGCAGAGGUGUAGCAAGGCAAGCACAAGCAGCAGAGCAGAGGGAAGGGAAGGCUGGGAGAUGAAUAGGCGAAUAGUUACCUGGACAGAGCAGAGGGAAUGGAGAUGAUGCAGAUGCUUCCGGAGACUCGAGAUUUGGAGAGGAACAAGGCCACGUUGUGAACAAGGUCUCCUUUCUCUUCUCUAUUUCCCGCGCAAGUACUUGUGCAUAGUGGCUGCCUCAUCCUCCAGGACGUCCACUUCAACCUGAGGCGGGUGCCACAGACAUCCUGGCUAUGCGACGGCUACCCCCAGCACACCCCCGGCGCCUAUGAACCAUGAUCCUAAUACUAUAAAUUGUCAACCUUGUAAUCUUAUUUCAAGCAUGCUCUCUAUGUCAACCUGUAAGGUUAACUUCGUUUUUCCUUUUCUGGGUAGGGGAGUGGAUAUUGCUGUUAUUUAUAUUAUGUUGAUAUUGGUUUCCACAUGUCAUUCACCCCAAAUGUGUUGCAAGGUUGAACCUAUCAUCGGAGGAAUUUUUUUCCCUUUACCUUUAUAUCACUACGCUCUGGUUAUGUAUGAAACACUUGUCUUCUUAAAAACCUUAAUUUAGAAACAAAUUUGAAACACUAUCUUCAUUUACAUCCUGUAUGUGUUUUCUACCUUUUGUCCUAUAUGAUCUGCUUUGAUUUGAUUUGUGCAUAGUUUUUUCAAUUCAGACCUGGUGAUUUCUGAGGUUCAUGUUGUGCUGAUAAGCAGCCUACUAUUCAGUAACACUUUCAUGUGGCAUGUUCAUGUUAGCUAGCUAGAAACACUGCUUUUAGCUUCAAAAUUCAAAUUCAUGACAUGAUGGACAUUGACAAUGAAUUUCUUGAUUGCCGAGCUAUGUACACUGUAAUUCAGACCUGGUGCUUUUAGUUUUUUUCUUGAUUGCCGAGCUAGAAACACUGUGCUUUUAGUUUUUUCAAUUCAGACCUGGUGAUUUCGGUUUUUUCAAUUCAGACCUGGUGAUUUCUGAGGUUCACGUGUCACACCGAUUUUAAGAACAAAAUCGAGUGCAUUAAAUAUACAUGUACGCUAGGAUCAGGUUACACACAUGUACGACAUAAGCGAAUAUCAAAGACAAUGCCAUAACGAAAUAAAGAGAGUAUUAAUCAUUAUUACAUGACCGAAAGUCUCAAAUAAACCACAAAAUCUAUUUAUUACAUAGCGGAACUUCUAAGAUAGCAACGUCUCCACAGGCAGCUGACUGAAGAACUGUAUGCCUAGAACUCUUCAAAAUCGUGCAGGUACUCCUCCAGAUUAGCUUGGUAUGAACAACGGUUUUGCAAGGGUGAGUACACUUAUGGUUGGUACUUAAUAAGUCGUGGGAAACAAUGUAGUGUAAGGCAAAUCAAGGUAUGGCUAAGGCUUAAACAGCAUCAGCUUUUAAUUUAGUUGGUCAAAUUUUAUUAGCAAUUAAUUAGACGUAAAUUUAUACCACCCGAAAUUAAACAAGAACAUGAAUAAAAUAAUAACAUAACCAUAAAUGAAAUGACAACAAUUUAAAUCCAUCUUUUCAUAGCAUUAUCAUGUGAGGGUCCAGUCCGUUCUUAACCGUGAGCACCGCUGAUCGAUCAGUUUUACACUCUGCAGAGGUUGUACAUCUUUACCCACAAGUCGCGUAAAAGUUCAAAAGAAUUUUGGACCCAACCAUGCGGUAUUUGCAAGGCACCAUACCACACUUCCAAGGUGUGAUUGCAUAUGAACGCUACGAGGCCUUUACAAAGAUUCAUUAGUAAGUGGUAACCCGCUAAGGUUUCGGUAUUUGGCGUGCACAACCUAUCACAGGCCGCUAAUGCAACGACUCAGUCCCCCCUCUUGCCUCAUCACGAGUAAGAUUACCCCAGACUAAGGUUUCUAAUUAUUCAGCCAAGAUCAGAACCAUUUAGUCUUGUGGUAGCACUGUUUUCCUGGGUGGUUCUCCAUGUUCCGAUUAAACAUAAUGGUCUUGUAUUAAUGGAAGGUAUAACAUAAAUAAUACCAAAUUAAUAAUAAUUCAGAUUAAAUCACCAUAACCAUAUUUGAGCACUAAGCAUGAGCUACCCAACAUAAAUUUAACCCGGUUGGUCAAGGCAAGGUAGAUAAAGUCUAGGAAAUUCUUAAUUGGGACCCAUCAAGUUUAAAUUAUACUUUGCAUGGUAUGUUGCAUAGAACAUGAAAGUAAAUGUGAAUAGGACUGAAAAGGAGUGAUUAGGGACACGACUUGCCUUUUUAACCUUGUUCUUGCUGUUCGUACUCUUCGAAAACUUUGAUCUUCAAAUCCCUUGAACUGCUGACCGUCUACACGCGUCACACGACCACAUACAAGCAAACAAAUAUAAUACAUAAGAAAACAGUACACCAAUCAUAAUUAAAUAGAAGAAACAAAUUUGAAAAGCUAUUCUACGCAUUAAAACGAAAACACGGAUACAAGGAACGUUAAAAACGGAGCUACAGUGCAAAAACUACGCUUAAAACAAGAUGCAGGGGUAUAACUACGAGAAACCAAACUUCCAGGGAUUUAAUUUUAAAUAAUUUUGAACUGCAGAAGGGGCAGCAGGGCAAAACGUAGAAAAUGCAGGGGCUUAAGCGCAAAAGCAUGGCUGCUGACUCAGCUGACUUGAUGUGGAUCGUCGGAUGGCGAUCCGGCGGCCGGCAGCUGCUGCGCUGACGUCAGCGACGGCGAGCGCCGGCGAAAAACGGCAGUUCGCCGGAAUCGCCCGGGAACGCGCGACUGGGUGCAGAUUUGAGCGAGGAUUAGACUAGCAGAUAGAAACGAGCGCAGUGAACUCAUUUGGGAUGCCUACGGCGAGGACUUGGCGACGGCAUCGGCUCCGGCGAGAACUUGCGGCAGGGAAACCAAAUAAAAUAAAAUAACACGGUUCAGAGAAGCGGCGCUGGAGGAACGCGAGCGAUUUUGCGUGCGAGCGGAAGAAAACACUGCGAGGAAGAUGACUGCGGGCCCUGCUUGUCUGCGGCAGGAGGAGAGCUGCGUGCGAGAAGAACCUGGCCACGAUCUGGGCCGUUGCCUUCGAUCUGGGCCGAGGCAAGCUAGCUGGCCCGCUGCUGCGGAAAGGUGCUGGGCCACGGGCGGAGCACAGCGUCGGGCCAGAAAGGAGAUGGCUGCUGCGAGGAAACAAAAGAAAAUGAACUGGGCUGCGACAGAGGAAAACUGGGCGUCGGCCAGAAAGAAGCUGCGUGCAGCUUGCUCUUGUUUCCGAACUAGAAACAGGAACUGACGGAAAGACAGAAAUCAAUUGGAGACUGAAACUGACGCCCCAGACUCUGAACUUCGAAAAAACAGGACAACCAGCCAACUGACAGAAAAAAAAAAGCUUAACAACCCAAAAGCAGUACACAACCACGAAACCAGGCCACAAGACUGAAAAAGCUUGAUAGGAACAUCUGGCGACUGAACCAAAAAACUACAGAACUGCAACUGAAGAACUAGAGAACAGAUAAAUAACUGAUUGAACUCUGAAACUGAAACACCAAAGAGCAGGAAGCUGACUGACGGAAAAUGCAAAACAGCAACCCAAGGUGAAACACAAAUUCUUCUUCAAGCAUUCAAACAAAGAGAUAUGCAACAGCAUGAAUGCUCAAUAAAAUCCUAUAUUUCAUUAAUUAAUUAGAAAAAAUGCUCAAAUGCCUAGAAAAAUGCAAAAGUGACCUUAUAUGCCUUAAACAAGCAAAUUCGUUUCUAGCGAUUUUUGGUAAAAUGCAAAAUUAGAGAUUUUGGGUGUUACAUCAUGUUGUGCUGAUAAGCAGCCUACUAUUCAGUAACACUUUCAUGUGGCAUGUUCAUGUUAGCUAGCUAGAAACACUGUGCUUUUAGCUUCAAAAUUAAAUUCAUGACAUGAUGGACAUUGACAAUGAAUUUCUUGAUUGCCGAGCUAUGUACACUGUAAUCACAUUGUGGGGCUGAUAAAAUAAGCAGCGUUGAGACACAUAACAAUUGAAUCUUAAGCUUCACACAGAAUCUGGACCAGUCAUCCUCAUUCCUGUCAUGCUGGAAAUGUCUUUGAUACAUUUCAAUCACAGGCAAUUGAAUUCGUACUGGGGAGGAUGGCAAUGGUGCAUGAAGAGAGAUCAAUGUGGCAAAUCUCACAUUGUUCAUUACCAGGUAUCUCCGAUUUCUGGUUAUUUUAAAUUUACCUUGACAUGUGACUUAUUGAGGUAUUGUAUUUCAUCUAAUGGUAGUUCUGAAUUUAUGGUAACCUUGGAUGGGGUUUGUCACUUUAUACACGCACGGACUUACAAAGGACAGCAAAUGAGUAUAUUUAGAGGGCUCCUGUCCAACCAUGGACUAUACUUAUGUACCCUUUUUUGACAUGGUAAUUUGAGGUUAAUGGAAAAGUAGCGAUAGUCGCCUCCAGCGAAGCUACCUUCUUCGAAAGCUCCGAGGCUGCUUUCUCGCUCUUAGCAAGCCGAUCCCUCGUAAUCAUCGAAGAGUAAGAGACCUACAGAUUUUAAAAACCAAGUUACCAAAAAUAACGAAGUAAAAGACAACACUCGCAAGACAAACCACCAAACUAUCUCAUAAUUGUACCUUCUUUACGAGGUUCGCCUCCAAGUUAAAGAGCUCUUCCAAGAUCAUUGACUUCACAGCUUGCUGAAAAUCUAUGCGCCAAAGGAUAUAGUCGUAAGCAUAAAAUAAAAAUUGGUAAAAACCAAGGACAGCAAAGCCAUCUACAAGCUGUUCUUACCCUCAUACUUUCGCACCUCAACGGCGAUCGGAACAACCUUCUCUCUAGCCUCGCCCUUAGACGCCACCACAAUCUUCCCGCCACACAAAUCCACAACCCCUCCUUUACCUUUGCCCUCUCCCGAAGUCGUCGUGCCCGCCUUCUCCACCCUUUUUGAACCGCCAACAUCUGCAUAGCGCUCGCAACCUUCACCUUCAGCCCCCCAGACCAAAGACAGGUUGUGAGGAUUAUAAACCCUACCUUCGGCGCAUGUAGCUAGAAUCUCCGUGCGCCCGCUCAAGCCCAGACACUCAUUCAGUCCCUGAAGCCCCGCCGGCAACCUCUCACCUACAUCAUAACAUUCAACUUUUAGCCUCACAUGAUCCUCACAACUAACCUUACCAACGCCCCCCAUAGUUUCUUCCAAGUCCUUCAAAAAUUUCGUUGAGGCCUCACCACAAUCAAAGAACCGUAGCAUCGAUAGAAACACCUCUACAUGCUUACCAGAUCUCACAGCUUCGGCACACCCACCCUUUGGAUCAGAUGAGAACGCAUCCACAAGCUUCGCCUUUUCGGUGGCAAACCCCCUCUCAAGUUUCCCAACAUCAGUCAAGAGAUGUUGCGCGCUCUUAAACUUCGAGCUUAUGGAAGGCACCGUGAUCUUGGUACCAGCUGCCGAAGACGCGUCAACCUUGGCACCCGUAACAGUAACAGGAGCAAAUCGAGGUUUCUUGGCGCCUCUUUUGAUCCGUGCGGCGGGCCCGGUGGAUGAAGGUGCAAGAGCUGGAACCUCCUUAGGAGGGCGCAUAGAGACAGGAACAACAUAUGCCGGAUUGCUCAAGUCGCCAGACGAAGCUGUCGACCACGAUGGCAACAUAGCAGACGAAGCCCCCGCGGUCAUUUCCUUCCUUUUUUGCGCCUCCAAAUUCAAGGUCUUUUGCUUCGCCUUAGCGGUCACUUGCAAUUCAAUAGUGAGCUUCACCAUGGGUACGAAGUCAAAUUUUGCCUUUUUCCUCUGCUCAAGACUAGCACCGCGACGGCGCCUCUUGCCCGUAACUUUGGGGUGAGGCAGAACCACAAUAUCAUACAAGUCAAAAAUCUAAGAUGAUGACAUUCCAUUUGUAUCCAUGAUUUAUAUUGUGUUCCUUGAAUAUCCAUUAAAGUCUACUUGAAUUGAUUUGCAAUUAUGUGAAUUGUAUGUGAAACUCUUUCCUUGUAUGGUUAUUCUAAAGUUGUCCCUAGUCGGAGUUCAUGUGAGGACACAUGAAUAUUAGACUAGCACAUGUAUUAGUUGAUGACUAUGUUUCACAAGUCAUGGACAUGAAGAUGUGGAACUAAUAAUGUGGGCACAUGUGGAGACACGUGCUAGGACUGACCCAACACGAGAAGUAGUUCUCUCUUUAUACAACAUAUACGCUUUGUCCUUAGACCUGAGAUUGUCGCAUGUACUCAAGAUGUGGAUCGACUUACUUAGGGGCUAUCAAAUUCUACGCCGUAACAGGGUAGUUAUAAAGGUAGCUUUCGGGUUUGUCAAGAAGCAUGCUAUGAGACAUGGUCAAUCAAGAUGGGAUUUGCCCCUCUCUGAUUGAGAGUGAUAUCUCUGGGCCCCUCGAGUGAUCGGAUCCGAAAAUGCAUGGCCAUGCUACAUACGAUUAAGAGUUAGCCUACAAAAGGAUUCCGAAUCAUAGGAUCGAGAAAGAGCGGUCGGCUUGAAGCUAGACCAAAUAUCGUGAGGCAAAGGGAAUAGCAUGUAUAUAAUGUUGUGAUGGUUCGUCUGAUAUGAUCUUCGUGUGCGUAUAGGAGUUGGCACGUCUUGCUAGAGGUCGCUACCGACUAUUGGGCCGAGUAGGAGUACUCAGGCCAUGUCUAUACGUAUCCGAACCCAUAGGGUCACACACUUAAGGGGCUGGAAGCCCAAUUCGGAUGUGAUCCGAAUUGGAUUAGGUUUAGAAGUACUAAUGGGCCUUGGACCUAGAGGCCCGUUAGGAACCUCUAUAAAUAGAGGGGUGGGGGCGCCCUAGGGUUUACACCUUUUUGGUGAAACACAUCUGCCGCGCCUCCCACGCCUUCGCCUGUUGCAACUCGCGGACCUAGCAGUCCGGCUUGCGACGCUUCCUCCCUGCACGUGUGGAUACCUUGGAAGUGUUGCUCCUGCAGCACUUGGACGAGCCGCCAACGAGCCACGACGAGCCACGAUGAGCCGACGAUGAGCCGCGGCACGAGGGGGAUCUUGCUGCACGUGGACGAGCUGCUGAGGAGCUGCUGGACGUCGAUGUGUUCGACUACGUACGACUACGCUGAUCGACUUCGCUGCAUCAACGCGAAUCUACAUCUUCCGCAUCAUUGCAUCGAGUGGUAAUCCCGUGAUCCUGAUACGGCAGUUUUCCUAGUUUACGCGGUAGAAAAUUUUGUUUUGUGCUAGUGUAGCCUAACUCAUAUCCCAACAACGUGUGCUAUAGGUCACGCAAGCCUGAAAAUGGCCACACCGGACACCGGGUACGAAAACAUGGGGGAUGGACCGAACAUUUGAAAAUGGCCUCCAUAUGUGUUUUCGGCUAUGAAAAUGUGUGUUAUAGGUCACAGAAGCUUGAAAACGGCCGCACCAGCCACUAGGGACGAAAACGUGGGGGAUGGACCAAAGACAUAAAAAAUAGCCUCCAGACGCGUGUUCGGCCAUGAAAACGUGUGGUAUAGGUCCUGGAAGGCCAAAAACAGCUACACCGGCCACCUGGGACGAAAAAGUUUGUGUAAGACCGAACACUUGAAAAUAGCCUCUGGACGCGUGUUCGGCUAUGAAAAGGUGUGUUAUAGGUCACACGAGCCCCAAAACAACCACAGCGAACACCAGCUACAAAAACAUGGGGGAUGGAUCGAAUAAUUGAAAAUGGCCUCCAGACGUUUGUUCGGCCAUGAAAUCGUGCGUUAUAGGUCGCGGGAGCCCGAAAACGGCCACACCGGCCACCGGGAAUGAAAAUGUGGGGGAUGGACCGAACAAUUAAAAAUGGCCUCCGGAUGUGUGUUCGGCCAUGAAAACGUAUGUUAUAGGUCACGGGAGCAUGAAAACGGCCGCACUGGCCACUGGGGACGAAACGUGGGGGAUGGACCGAAGACGUGAAAAUAGCCUCCAGACGCAUGUUCGGCCAUGAAAAUGUGUGCUAUAGGUCAUGCAAGGCCAAAAACAGCUGCACCAGCAACCGGGGACGAAACCAUGGCUGUCAAACCGAACGCUUGAAAAUCGCCUUCGGACGCGUGUUCGGAUAUGAAAACAUGUGUUGUAGGUCACGCGUGCCCGAAAACGUCCACAACGGACACCGGGUACAAAAACGUGGGGGAUGGAUCGAAUAACUGAAAAUGACCUCCGAACGCGUGUUCGGCCAUGAAAACGUGUGUUAUAGGUUGCGGGAGCCCAAAAAUGGCCACACCGGCCACCGAGGAUCAAAACGUGGGGGAUUGACCGAACAAUUAAAAAUGGCCUCCGAUUGUAUGUUCGGCCAUGAAAACGUGUGUUAUAGGUCAUGGGGGCCCAAAAAUGGCCGCACCAGCCACCAAGGACGAAAAUAUGGGAGAUGGACCAAAGACAUGAAAAUGGCCUCCAGAUGCAUGUUUGGACAAAAGUGUGUGCUAUAUGUCGUGCAAGGCCAAAAACAGCUACACCAGCCACCGGGACAAAAACGUGGGUGUUUGACUAAACAAGUGAAAAUGGCCUCCGGAAGCAUGUACGGCUAUGAAAAUGUGUGCUAUAGGUAAUGGAAGGCUAACAAAAGCUACACCGGCCACCGGGGACAAAAUCAUGGGUGUCAGACUGAACACUUCAAAAUGGCCUCCGGACGCGUGUCCGGCUAUCAAAACGUGUGUUAUAGGUCAUGCGAGCCCGAAAACAACCACACUGAACACCGGGUACAGAAACAUGGGGGAUGGACUGAAUAACUGAAAAUGGCCUCUAGACGCGUGUUCGGUCAUGAAAACAUGUGUUGUAGGAUGCGGGAGCCCGAAAACGGCCACACCGGCCACCAGGGCAUGGACCAAACAAUUGAAAAUGGCCUCCGGAUGUGUGUUCGGCCAUGAAAACGUGUGUUAUAGGUCACGGGAGCCCAAAAAUAGCCGCACCGACCACUGGGGAUGAAAUCGUGGGGGAUGGACCGAAGAUGUGAAAAUGGCCUCCAGAUGCGUGUUCGGCCAUGAAAACGUGCGCUAUAAGUCAUGUAAGGCUAAAAAUUGCUACACCGGGACUAAAGCAUCCCCCAUGAGUUACAAUAAAAGGAUUGUAUCCUCUACUCAGUCGGAUGUACUGUGUAGGUGAGAUGGUAAGGAAGCUAUGCGCGAGGUUUGAGGUUGUGGGUUGAAAUCCUACGCACCGCGCGCACACGCGCAUAUUUUGUGUGAAAAAUCAUGUGACUUGUGAUCGGCCAAGGAGAAGUGGGUGCAGCUGUGGCUUAAGUGGCUGAGGCACGCUGCCAUAGACAUCUCCGAUUUGCUCGAAGACUACCAAGACACUAGCAAUAACAAGAACUACUGCUCUUCCUAGCAGACUCUUUACAACCACUUUAAAGCUGUGCAUUUCUCAAUGUAAUUUCGUAGAAGGCAAUCGAUCCAACCAAGCGACUAAAUCAUUUGUUCUUGCCAAUGAUGUACAUCAGGUUUUCUAUAUGAAGGACAUGUCUAGCAAACCUAAGAUUUUAGAAGAAAAAGAAAAAUUAUGGGAGUCAAUAAUAAAUCAGGCCAAUCAGGAGAUUAUAGUAAGCUCGAUGGUAUGCCUCCAUUCGAUGUCGAAGUUGGCCCAAGCAUCAUGUUAGCCAAAGAUCAAAUGUUCGUGCAUUGCUACGGUAAAGAUCAAUUGUGUCUUUUAAACCCAUGGAAUUUUUUAUCUAUGUUUUUAUUACACUUAAUGGAUGUCUACACAUUUGCUAGAAAAUCAAAAUAAUUUUGACUUAAUUAUUUCUUUCAACUCAAAUACUCAUUAAAUUUCUACCUUUUUAUUUAAGCAAGAGAGUUGCUCAAAAAAUGGAUACGUAACCAUGUUGUAUCAUACAAAGCAACCACAUUUCACAUAUAGUCUGGCUUAGCAAACACCAUUGUUGUCUUAACAUAGUGUUCAUGAGUUAGUAGACAUGGAUCUAUUUCUAAUUGCAAGUAGUGCAGCGUACAACCAGCCUGCACCGCCGCAGCUCAAUAUGCGAUAAUUUUUUAUCUUCCCAUGUAAUUUUUCUACUCUAGUACAUAUUGAACUCCACAUAAAUGUCAUGUUCUUUCACGCCACAGACGGUUUCUAAAGUUUGGAACUAAAUAGAUAGCCAAAAAUUUUAAAAAAAUAUUUAUAUGGAUACAUGUAUGUUCUUUGCAAACUAACAAUAUUGUUUACAAUAUCAAAAGGAAUAUGGCUAUGAUCAUUGCCGCAUAUGGCAGGUGAUGGUAGAUGCCGUAUGGGGUUUCUUUAACUUAAUUGUAUAAUAAGCUGAAAUACAUUUUCUAUUUGCAAAUGAAUCAUAGCUGAAAGUGGUGGGAUUGUAGAACCGCCGGCCAUCGUGUCCUUGUAGGACCGCUGCACGAGCCUGUGAGCCACCAGCCACCAUGCGCCCAAGGGCCAUCACCACGCCAUAAGAGGAUGCUGUCUACCCGGUUUCGCGCGCCUGUGCUAGCUGCCUGAACCUGGGCCGCCGCCGGUCGCCUGCCCAGCCGCGCGUUGCGCCAGGGUUUUGCUGGUGACGACCAUGGCCUUCGCGAUCAAAUUAAAAAGUUAUCAACUGCAAAGUAUUAGGUCUCGUUGAGCUCUACAAUUUUGAUAUAAAGUUUCUAUUCAUCCGAGAUCAAAUAAAAAAUUUGAUACUCAAAGCAUAAAUCCAUUAAUCUAGUCUUGCUAAUCCUUACCACCAAAUAAAAAACUAGCAUGUGUUGUGUGUUUGUGACCCUAAACGAUCACAAAUGAAUAACUUAUGGGCCUUGCUAGCGCCCGGAUGUCCAGGCCGGGGCACUAGCAUCAGACCCACGAGUAGCCGUCCGAUCAGGUUCGACACCACUUCAGGAUCUGGCUUAAAAAGAAGUCCCACCGAAACAUUGUUCCAUGUUGCAUGAAGCAACCCACUACCGUCGCCAGGUCUAGAGCAAGCACCACCUUCAAAUGUGCUGCUCACCCUAGCUAAAUAGGGGCAUUAAAAUAUUUCUCGCAUAUCCUUCUCAAAUUAAACAAAAUCGCAACAUCUGAAAAUUUUUACAGAAAACCAUGAAACAUAUCGAUUAGAUAGAUGUAACAAGAUGGAAUAUGGUAUAUGCAACAUAUAGGUUCCGAAAAGCAGAUGAAAUAUUAUGUAAUGAUUCUUGAAACAGUCAAGAAAAAUAGAUGUAACAUCUAAAAUUAAGAAAAGAAGCUUUAUGCAAAUUGCAAAAAGCUGAAACAAGUGGUUGAAACAUUUCAAAUCACCAAAUGCCACAUUUGAAAUGACCAGAUGAAACAUCACGAAAUCAAUUGCAACAGUUGAAGAUGAAAACAUUCAAAUGCCUUGCCUUUCUCCAAAUUUGACCCUCCAAGCAUGAGUCCAGCCAUUUGCACAUUAGACCCUUGGGAGGAGCUCACCGGAGAACAACAAGACCGUGUUAUCCAACAAUUUUCAGAUCAAAUUGCAACAUAAAGAACAAAGCAUUGCAACAUCUGGCAUCACGAGCUACAACAGCAACCAGUUAGGAUCAGGAGAAAGAGGGCAAACACAAGCCUAACAAUGAGUUAUAUCCGGUUUAAACAAGGAUAAAAAUGAGUGUAUUUUACACUCAUCAUGUUGUCUUUUCGCAGCUGUACCGCCUUUAGCGUGUUGUAUUGUUCCUAACACCAAGUCUCCGAGGCCCGAAAAAAUAAGGAAAGUGGUAGCAGCUCAGAAAUCGACUAAGUUUCUUUCCCCCUUUGGCUUUCCUACUAGGAUUCGGAAUCCUCUUUCGUAUGACAAUCUUAAUGAUCUCCCAUAGUCCAAAACUCACAAAAACAUCAAAAAUCCACCGAGAAUAAAUUAAGUAAAAAAACAUGCACACACAGAUAAUAAUAGUAAUCAUGUUUCAUUAUGAUUGCUAAGGUCAGACACAAUACAUAAACAUAUUAGACUGAGUGACCCACCUCACCUCAGAGUAUGCACCAUGUCUGAGUGACCCACCUCACCUUGCCAGGACACUGGUCCUGCCCUCGUGGUUCACGCGCCCUCGUGGUUCAGCAGUGGUCAGUACACAAAUCUAGCUGCCAGUCGGAUCCAAGGGCAGGCAUUUGCAUUGUGGUUGUGUUUGAACAUGGAGAUGUCAUUAUUAUUGUCAGGCACCAUACAUCCUCUCUCAGUUUCACUCCGCCUCACACACGGAUAGCACACCAGGGACCCGACACCAUGCAUGCCGAUUUCAUAUUAUUAAUAUUUAAUUUUUUUAAUGGUUGUUGAAACUAUAUUGUUGAUAUUUUUAUACAUAAUUUACGACCUAAUUUGGAUAUAUUUUUGAAAUAUUCCGAAAUCUUAAAUUCACACGUCUAGAGAUACAGUUAGUCCAAUCUGAUGUUUCCGAUUAUAAAAAUGAACAUAAAGAGAUAGGAAGCGAGAGACGUGAGGGGGAAAGUUAAAUUAGGGCCUAAGGGGUGAAGUUAGGGUUCCAGGUGAGCUGUCAUCACUACGUGUUUUUAAUCGAAAUUGGAAUGUCAGCAAUCGUCAGAUCUUGAGCCAACAGUUGAGACUGCCUCGGAAUGGUAAUUAGGUCUGCGCGAGCUUGCAUUGUGGCCUUCCUUGAAACCUUGGACAUAGGUGUUAUAUUAUUAUGUUCUUGCCAGCACACAGCAGUGAAGGACGACACAGUUGAGAUGUGCAUCACAUUUUCUAUAUGAAGGAUAUGUUUAGCAAACCUAAGAUUUUAGAAUAAAAAGAAAAAUCAUGGGAGCCAAAGCGCCACAUAGUUCUUCCAGGUAAAAAAAAAUCAUCCACUGGACCAGCACAUAGUAACGAUCCAAAAAGUCCAUAUUAAGAUUUUUUGAUAGCAGAAAAAACAUAAAAUGUCUAAUAUUUGUAGUAUUAAAAGGAAAAAUAAUAUAUUCACGUGACCUUUUUCCCGUAGCAAGGCACCGGUACGUGGUCAGACUUAAUGCACGAUGCCUAAGCAUCCAUUGGGCCUACCCUCGUGUGGAUCACGCGCAACAGGACACGGCUCACAAGCUAUGAUGUGCAGCAGUCGCUCAGAUGGCUGAAAGGUACCCUUAAUUUGAAUGGUACCAUAUAUAUAUAUAUAUAUAUAUAUAUAGUAAACAAGACAAACCACCGUUGAUACUACUUUGCACUACUUGAUACAUAUAUCUCCACCAAAAGCGAGGCACGUGGGGAGGAGAGAUAUGUGGUUGAUGGUGCGGGCACGUGGCGAGUGCACCGUACGAAAAUUUUGCUCGUGUCGGACGACUGAUGUGAAGCAUUACCCAAUCUUAAUUAUCUCCCAUAAUCCAAAACUCACAAAAACAUCAAAAAUCCGCCGAGAAUAAAUUAAGUAAACCAUGCACACACAGAUAAUAAAAUUGCUAAUAAGGCCAGAGACAAUACAUAAACAUAUUAGACUGUUCAUGACACAUAUCACGGUGGAUAGUGUCUGUGUCCUUAUUACAAGCAAUGAGAGAUGCUUGUCACCACACACACGCGCACAGAUGCACAACAUACAUAUAGUUGAGACCAACAGAUGGAUCAACUAGAGGUCACCCCAUAUGGUGAACAAUUUAUUGGAGAUAAACAUUAACAUAACUUGGCCAUAGCUUGAAGCAUAGCAACAUAUGCCUAUGAACGGCGUUCAUGCUAUCAUUUUAGGCUUGUCCGCUUCUUCCAUCUUAGCAAGCACUUCCAUUUCUACCAUCUUAGAAGCAACUGUCAAAUUGAGAUAUGGAAAUCCCAUUAGCGCAUGAGUUAAUUUUGCAGUGAAAAUAGAGUACAAGAUAUCUUCAUGAUGUAAGUAACAUGCCUGAAGUUGUGAGAUGGGAAGUGAAGUCAACAAAUUACAUUAACGGAAAUGCAUGGAAGGCCACACAUACGUAUUAGUCCAUGAUAUGCUACAAAGCUUGUAUGUACAUAUAGCAAAUUAAAUGCAUUAAUUGAAUAGAGUGAGUUUAGUGAAUUUACCAGAAUCGUCCAGAAAACAUGGGAAACAGCAAGUGUUCUUGCAGACUGCGUCGGUGCCACCCACAGCAAUACAACCAAAACAACAUGCUUUUGCCCGAGCGGCUGCGCAGCAGCCGCACUCUGCCGCGGUGGCCGAGUUAGCAUUGAGGCUCAAGAUGACCAGGCACAUGAUCACCAUCAAAGCGGUGGUAGUCCUCUUUCCCUCCAUUGCCUCCUCUUGCUGCUACCUUCCUUGGUUACCUAGCUAAGUUUAUUGGUUUUGUGUUGAGAGGUGAUUCUUGCAUUGAAUGGACGUUGCCGCGGCUGCAAUUUAUAGGCAGCUGCGCUAUGUGAUGAUAUGGACAAGGUGCAAAUGGGUGGUCCUGAUAUGGAUAAGGUGCAUGCGAAUGGCUGUCUACUUGUAUAGUGGCGCUCCAAUGUACAUACGUAUGUAUCUUAUGCAUGUAUACAGUUGAUGGAUGUACAUGUUUGUUGCACAAAUUAUUCUGAACCAACUCUUCAUAACAGGUCUUUGUUACCAAGUAAUUUUACUUUUGCACGUUUCAGCCGAGAGGCAGAAGAGAAUAUUUUACAGAGAGGGCAGAGAAGGAGGUUGGCGGAGGCGCCGUGGUAGGGUUCCCCGUGUCGCCAAGAUUUUUGCAUUUUAGAUGUGUGUAUUGAUCACUUCGUCGUGCUCGCGGGGCCCAACUCCAGGUUGUACCCCAGCAGACCACGUUCUGUUUCUCUGCCUCCAAUGAGCAUGCAUGCCUCCACAAGGACCACAAGACUUAGUAAAAAAGCUAAACUUUGCAACACGAUGUAUACAGAACGUUUUGAAAUGUACUCUCGUUAGGCAUUCACCUCCUUAACAAUCACUGCGACUGUAAAAGAGGUACAUCGACGCUAGCUAAAUAAACCACUAUAAGAUUUAGCAAGAGAUCAUUUUAUACAAUCCUGUAACGAAACAAUUUGACAAUUAUAGUGUCCAUAUAUUUUGACAAAAAAACGUUUAAAUUAUAUAAGGAGGUGGGCCCGAAAACGGUUGGAUUACAUCGAGAACGUUUUGAAACAGUUGGCGGAGCAGGAUUCUGGCGUGGAGCAUCUACAUUGUCGCGCGCGCGGACUGCCGGAGUAGGCACGCUCGACUUGUCCCAUCGCCAGCUAAAUGAUUUAGUACCGGAUGGUCUCUAGUACCGGUUGGAGCUACCGUCCACCAGGAGCUUUUCUAGUUUGGAACUGGUACUAAUGCUAAUAUUAGUAUCAGGUCAAAAACAAUCGGUACUAAGGCUAGGGAUGACACGUCAUUUUUCUAGUAGUGUGUGCAAUUGGUUUUGUAAUUAGUCUAUAUUUAAUACUUCUAAUUAGUAUCUACACAUUUUAUGUGACAGGGACUGAACUUUAGUCCGUGGAACCAAACACCCCAUAAGUAUGUUUGGUGCUGUAAGGAUUUCGGUUUUAUUUAAUUUCCUAGGCAUUUAAAUUUCUUUCUAAAAUAAGUUAAUGAAUCAUAGGAUCUCAUUGUUGUAUUCAAGCUGGUGCAUUGAUUUUGCCUAUAAAACCCGCCGCGGUCUUCGCAGCCCCCAUCAAACCCUAGCGCCCUUGCCACAAGCUCAGCACCGCUGCCGCCCGAGCUCGAGCACUAGCACCCACCCAUCGCCGUUGCCUUCCCGUCGAUGGGAUCACCGCCCGGAGCUUCGCAUCGUGGUAAGGAAGCCGCCCGUGAAGAUCCCAUGUGCUCCUAUGCCCUCUACCGCGUCCCCGAGUUCCCGGAGUUGCUAGUCUCCCACCGAGCCGACUCUCCGAGCUUCACGUCACUGGUGCCGCUCCGAAGACCUAGUUCGGUUCGCCAUGCACCUCGCUUCAUCCUGAGCUAAACCCCAUAAUGAAUGGUGGUCGGAUGCUCGCCGCCACGGCGCGUCGUCUUUUCUGUCGCCCGUGCAUUGCCUAUCCCCUUCCAGCCGAUUGCAGCUGUCCGAUCGCAAACCGGUGGCCCUGAUCGGAUACCAAGGUCAAUACCGGUCGAACCGAGCCGUGCGCUGCUUUUGCAAGAAGGCCCCUGUUUUUCUCUCUUUUUGCACCUGAGGUCCUACGCAGUUCAAAAGUAAUAAGAUCUAGGUCCUUUUUCUUUUGUUUUAGCCCGUGUUCUUUUAUAAAAUCCCGCCCACUAUUCUGUUUGGUCUUUUGACGCGUUAGACCUUCUUUUUAUAUGUUUAAUUAGGUUUUAGGUCUCGAUUUCUUUAAGUUUAGCCCUUGAAAGUUUAGUUCUCUCGCAGUUAAGCCCCUGAACCUUGUUUAGCUCAUAUCUUAAGCGUUUUAAAUCCGUUUUAACAGAUUCUUGCGCCUAUAAGUUCAUGUUGACGCAUAGAUUAGUUGACUUAUACGAACCUUGCUGAUUCAGCUCCUUGAUUGUGCUUCAGAUCUCGCUAGGGAAGAAUAAUGGAUGGGCUUUGGUUGAGCUUGUAGAUCGACUUGCAGUUGCAGUGAAUGAGCAGAGGAUUGGCAGUGAAUAAGAUCAGGCCGCUGCCCUGCUUGGUAGGGAAAAUAUCUGCUUGCUACCAAGGCCUGUGACGCAUGGACCCCAUUGAGAGUGCAUUAUUGACAAGGACUUAAAGCCAAGGGCUCCACACCUGUCAUUGAUCAGCUGUCUGCUGGGCGCUGCAAGGAGGUAGUGCAUGUUUGACAUAAAGAAGCAGGUGGCCCAGGAUUUACGAAAAAUAAGGAUCUAUUUGAUACCCUUGCUUAUAUUUAGGGGCUAAAAGUUGCUUAUUUGAAGUUGCUUAUUUUUAAUCCUAGCUGUUUGAUUGCAUGGGCUAAAGAGCAUUGAAUGAGGUGGAUAUUGUCAUGUUUGCCUCUAAUGAUUGCUUCCCAUCACAUUUCUCCCCCCUCAUUCAACGAGGGAAGGAGGUGUAAAGUGCACCUUUUAGCCCCGAUAAGUAACCCUUGUGUUGUUUACGGGCUGAACAUAAGUAGCUAAAGUUUAGCUCCAAUAAACAAGAGUGUUUGGUAUUUUUGGGGUUAAAAGGGGCUAAACUUUAGCUGCUUAUGCAUAAGCAAGGCCAUCCAAAUAGGCCCUAAGUAUGUUUGGCGUUGUAAGUAGGUUUUAUUUAAUUUCCUAGGCAUUUAAAUUUCUUUCUAAAAUAAGUUAAUGAAUCAUAGGAGUUCAUUGUUGCAUUCACGCUGGUGCAUUGAUUUUGCCUACAAAACCUGCUGCCGUUUCCGCAGCUCCCAUCAAACCCUAGCACCCCCGCCACGAGCUCCAGCGCCGCUGCCGCCCGAGCUUGAGCACUAGCGCACACCCAUCGCCGUCGCCUUCCUAUCAAUGGGAUCACCGCCCGGAGCCCGUGUCAUGGUAAAGAAGCCGCCCGUGAAGAUCCCGUCCACUCUCGUGCCCUCUACCGCGUCCUCGAGUUCACCGGAGUUGCCAGUCUGCCACCCAGCCGCCUCUCCGAGCUUCAUGUUGUCGUUGCCACUCUAGCUGCCUCUCUGAAGACCUAGAUCGGUUUGCCGUGCACCCCGCUUCAUCCUGAGUUAAACCCCAUCAUGCCACGUCAUAGUAAGGAAGCUGCUCAUGAAGAUCCCGUGCGCUCCCGUGCCCUCUACCGCGUCCCCAAGUUCACUGGAGUUGCUAGUCCACCACCGAGCCGCCUCUCCGAGCUUCACUUCACAGUCGCUGCUCCAGCCACCACUCUGAAGACCUAGAUCAGUUCGCUGUGCACCCCACCUCAUCCUGAGCUAAACCCCAUGACGAACUGUGGUCGGAUGCUCAUUUUCGAGUGAAUUCCGGCGAGAUGGUCGCCCGCCGCCGCCAUCUCCAUCGCCCAUGCACCGCCUGUCCCCUUCCAGCCGAUGUCCGAUUGCAAACCGAUAGCCGAAAUCGGAUGUGGUCACCAGGAUUAAUACCAGUCAAACUAAGCCACGCGUGCCGCUUUUGCAAGAAGGCCCCUAUUUUUCCCUCUUUUUGCACUUGAGGUCCUAUGCAGUUCAAAAGUAAUUAGAUCAAGGUCCUUUUUCUUAUGUUUUAGCCCUAUUCUUUCAUAAAAUCCCGGCUGCCAUCCUGUUUGAAAUAGAUACGGUUAUAGAUAUGCAAACAUCUGCAUAUUUCCAACCGUAUCUCUUUCGAACGGGAGACGCCUAACUAGGUUACGUGACAUACGAACAUCAUACGGAUAGAGAGGGGUAGGAUGUCUCACCUUGCUAUCCUACAAAGUGACGACUCGAGGACAGUAAUGUAGCCUCUCCUUCAAAAAAAGAACAUACUACUAUCAAGUUAAAUUUUUGACAGCACCUCCCCUGCACGUGGAGGUUUCCAUAACCUGCAUCAAAUAAAACGGCACGAUGGCUGACAACCACAUCUACAGCACCAGAAUGGCACGAUGGCCGACUUCCACAUAAAGUUCUUAUACCUUAGAUUGCCAAGUCAAACAUCCUUUUCUAAUUUCUAAAACAAAAGCCCUCCCACCUCUCUAUCUUAUACUUUCCUAUUUACUAAUUGCUUUUGUAAUUUCUAAUUUCUAUUUCAUCCUACCACCUCUGUACCCUUUUCUCAUUUCUAAUUCCAAUUUUCUAACUUGAAGAGCAAAGAUUGAUUACUAGGAGGGGUGAGGGACGCCGGCCUAGAGAGGCGAGGGGACGUCCGGCGGCGGCGGGUGCGUCGGGGGUAGGAUGCCAGGGGCGGCUGCAGGGGCGCCGGGUUGGGGGCGGCCGGGAUCGAGGGCACCAGUAGCGGGGGCACCGGGCCGGGGGCGGCCGGCGGGGCGGGACGCCAGGGCCGGGGCGACGGGCGCCGGUGGCGAGGCCGCCCGGCCGGUGGUGGCCGGCGUGGCGCCUGGGCCGGGGGGGGGGGGCGGGCGGGGUGCGGCGCGGCGCGCCGGGGCAGGGCGCCGAGGCUGGGUGGUGGGGUACGGGGCGGCGGGCGGGGGGUGGGGGGAGGGUCGGCGGCGGGGCGCGGGGGCGGCCAGCGGCGACGGCGGAGGGCGUCGGUGGUGUUUCGGAAGUGAUACGGAGGGGGUAGAGAGAUUCGUUUUCGCGGCUGAGUGUUCGAGUCAGAAGGCCGUGCGGCUUAAGUCAGGUGGUUUGCCGAGUGCGCGCGAUCUGGCACUCGGCAAAGUCAGAAGUUUUGCCGAGUGUCAGAUCGCGGGCACUCGGCAACUGCAGCUUUUGUCGAGUGCCCUGGAUUCGGCACUCGGCAAAGUGAAGUUUUAAUUUUUUUUAAAAAAAUUUAAUCGGAACACGGGCGUGCCAGCGGGCCCGUGACAUACUUUGCCGAGUGUGUAGCAAAAACACUCGGCAAAAUAUUAUCUUUACCGAGUGUUUUCGCUAGGCACUCGGCAAAGUACACUUAUAUUUCAUGUACACUUUUUCAAUAACGUGUUUUACUAACCUUUUUCUGAUAUACUUGGGAAAAACCUUAUCAAAUUCACUCAACAAUGGAUAUAUGGUUUUUCUACUGACAUUAUUCCAUUAUUUCAUUCAGUUAUAGCUCAAAUUGAAUUUAUAUCUAUUAAAAAUCAAUAAUUGCAUUUAAUAAAUAAAAAAUACCAAACGGAUCUGAAAAAUUUCCAAAAUUUGACAUGAACCAAUCUAUGUUGUAUGUUGCCUGUACAAAAAGCUUUGAAGUCAAACCCCAAUUCAAGUGUCACUUGGACUCCAAAUCUUAUCGGAUCCUUUCUAACUUCUAUGAAUCCUUUCGGGAGAUGAGUCGGUUUGUAAGCAUCAUAUGUCAUAAAUUGGGCGAAACCUUCUCAAUUUUUUACCACAGCCUCCACAUAUAAUAUCAUGACACCUUGACAAAUCUUGUGAUUUUCAGACUUCGUUUGCUUUUUUUAGAAUUUAACAACCAUUCAACCACAUGUUCGUGAUCGUGUUUUCUAAAAAAAUGUUCAAAAUUUCUUUUCAUUUCCUGGUUGAGACCUCAAUCCGGAUUGAAUAAUAUGAAUAUGAUUUUUUCACUGAUUUUAAUCCAUUAUUUAAAUCACUUGCAGUUAAAUUUGACUUAAAUAAACAAAUUCCUAUUAAUGCUAUCAAUUCAUUAAAAAUAGCAAACAGAGAAAAAAUAGACCAACUUUUAAGAUGGAUUACCAAAUGUCAUAUGUGGGGAGUAGAAAAAGUGUGGAGAGCAGAGGUGGAAAAAAAAGUUUUGCCUUUGCCAAGUGCCUACACAAACACUCAACAAACUUUGCGGAGUGCCUAUUGAAAACACUCAGCGAACUUCUGAGUUUGCCGAGUGUCUGGAGGGAGCACUCGGCAACCUACUUAUUUGCCGAGUGUCCGCGUCGGACACUCAGCAAAGUACUAACGGCUGGCACACUCCCCUAACGGACGGCGCACGUGCAAGCCAUGUGCUGGAGAUUUAUCGAGUGUCAAAUCGUUGCCGAGUGUCGUGUGGAUGUUUGCCGAGUGUCUUAUUUGUGACACUCGGCAAAGCUAUUGUUUGCCGAGUGUAUUAUUUAUGCCGAGUGUCUUCCAGUAUACACUCGGCAAAUGAUGUCUUUGCCGAGUGCUCGACAUAAAGCACUCGGCAAAAAUUUUACACUCGGCAACAUUCCUGUUUCCGGUAGUGAGUGACCCGGGACUAAAGACCCCCGUUGUCUCUGAUUGCUUUAUUCCGGAUGGAUUUUCAGGAGAUUUGCUCCCUACCAAUAGGGACUAAAGGCAAGUUUUCCACUUAUAGCAAACCAGUUAGCCCAUUGUUGAUGGAACGCAUCACUAGAAACAGCUCGGGAUCCACUUGUCCAAUAAUCGAGAGGGCCUAUAUAUGGACCACGUGUGCGGAUCCCUAAUUAGGAAAAAAGAAUAAUGGAGUAGGACAUCUCCAUGCUCACCUAGUAGCCGCUGCUAGCUUGUGCGUGUGGAACACGAGUGCCGGCCCAGUUGGCGCUAAGACAUCGUACGUGCAUUAAGGCUACGAUCUCUUUCUUCUAACUCAUGCUUGUGCUAUUAUACAUUAUUGCAUGAUCAUCAAGAUAAGAUCGUAUAGUGACUGAGUGAGACAUGUAUGUACUAACAUGCAUUUAAGCCUCGAACUGUGUGUUGUUACGUGAGCUGCCUCCUCACCUCGCCUCUGAAUUAUUGAACCGUUUCCAACAGUGUUGGUCUCAAAUAAAUUUGACACCAAACAGAUUUAUGAAGAAGAGAGAAUAAUACUUGGAAUUGGAAAAAGUUUAUCUCUCUUUACAAUGGAGUAGGGCUCCCUUUUAUAGUGACCCAUAAGCCACUUUACAUUUGGAAAAUGUCCUUCCUCAACCACUACAUUAAUUCCUAGGAUAUGCUGUACAUAAAGGUCAUUUGAGGUAACGUGUACAAAUGAACUCUUCCACAUGGUCACGUUUCUCAUGCCUCCUGUUUUCCAACCUCGAGACAUCAUCUUCACGCCAAGUUGAUCAUCUAGCCUCGAGGCUCCAUCCACGAUCCAGAAUGAACGUCCAGGCUUGAGGCUCCUUCUUCGUUAAGCUUUGUUGAGAACUCAUAACCUCACAUAGUUCUCCUCCGAGUAUUGUUCCCGACUCAGAACACUCGAGGUUUAGCUCAGUUGGAGUUUAGCUAUUACUGUUGCUAGUCACCAGCCUCGAGCCCCUCCAGAAGCAAGGUGAUGCGAGGGUACGAGUUUUACUAUUAAAGGUGUUUCCAUAGAAUGUGCGAGGUUAAAGCACUUGCAGCAAAAGCGUGGAGCUGCUUUCAACCAGAGUGCAAUAAUGCAGCCGUGCCCAUCUUGGUCUUGGUCUCCGCCUGAACUAUAGCAGAUGCUGGCAGCGGUAGCAGGGUGGUCCAUUAUAUCUAUGGAUGGCAAUGGUCGGAUUCGGAUGGAAUCGAAUUCGAAUAGCACUUUUUACCACAUACUAAUUCAAAUCCGAAUUCGGAUUCGGAUGUUCUCGAAUGCGAAUGCAAAAUGGAUGGUUCGAAUUCGAAUACUUAGCGGAUUUUUGCAUAAUAUUAAUCGAAUAGAAUUCAUUAAAUUUAGCCAAGAAAUUAAAUUUUCUGAAAUUAAAUACUUUCCCUUCGCCCCAGCGGCGGCCUAACUCCCAGGACGGUGGCGUGCGGGGCCCGAGCAUCCCUGGCCUCUAGUGGCGUGGCGGGGCGGCAUCCAGCAGCAGCGGCGGGGCUCGGCCUCCGGUGGCGCGCGGCCAGCCCGACCUACCCGGUCAGAGGUGGCGCAGCGGUGCGCGGGCCUCCCCGACCAGAGCCGGUGGGGAGCGGUGCGCGGGGAGGACCUCCCCAGCCGGAGGUAGCAGGGCGCGACCUCCCCGGCCGGAGGUGGCUCCCUGUGGGGGCGCGGCCGUGACAGCUAGCGAGGCAAUAAUUGCUUCCGUACGCAGCAAUAAUUGCUUGUGCGACACCGUGUUAUUACUCUGGUACAGUACUCCCUCCGUUGCAGUACACUGGUCCAGGCGUCAGGACACUGCUCCUGCCCUCGUGGUUCACGUGCAUCAGGCCAGCAGACAAGCUAUGAUGUUGCCAACAGUGUUUGUUUGAACAUGGAGAUGUCAUUGUGAUUGUCAGGGACCCGACACCAUGCAUGCCGAUUUCAUAUUCUUAAUAUUUAUUUUUUUAAUGGUUGUUGAAACUAUAUAGUUACUCCAAUAUCACGUUUCCGAUUAUAAAAAUUAACAUAAAGAGAUCGGAAGGGAGAGCCCGCAUAAUGAAGCCGACGCGUAUAAUAAGCACUAGAGCCGGCAUUUAUACAAACGGGUACGCAUAGUAAAAACUAGAAUUUAUAAAUAAAUGAAGAUAUUCAAAUAUCUGGCUUACUUUUUUCAUUAAUUUUGCAUGAAUAAGGGAUGAUUCAUUAAUCAUUAUUGAACAAAUUGGCACACAUGCUUCGUGCCCGCGUUGUGAGCAUUAUGCGAUGCCACUGAGCUGCACCACCACGGUAGAGGGCCUGUUUGCGAUGCCACCGAGCUGCACCACCACGGCAGAGGGUCUGUUUGGGAAGGGGAAGUUAAAGUUUAACACCCCCCAUUUAACACCUUUUUAACAAAAUGGCUGCUAAACACUUGUGUUAAAAGAGUAGUGUUAAAAUUUAACACCUCUCUUUUCAUAAACACAUGGAGGGGGUGUUAAAAUUUGCUAAAUGUGUUAAAAGUGGUCCCCUCCCCACUUAUUCCUUGGUUGCCCCCCUCUCUCUCCUCCUCUCUCUCCUACCCGCCGCAUUUAAGAGCAUUAUUGAGGGGUAAUGCAGUCCUUUUCCAACAAAAGUGUUAAACUUUAACAACCCUUCCCAAACAUGCCACAAGCAACACCACCGGCUGACUGUGCUAGCGGGGAGCACCCUCACCGCCUGCCCGUGGGGACUUCUUCUGCCGGCCAUCGUGUCUUUGUAGGACCGCCGCGUGAGCCUAUGAGCCACCGGUGGCCGUGCGCCCAAGGGCCAUCACCAUGCCACCUGAGGAUGCUGUCUACCCGGUGCCGCGUGCCUCUGCUAGCUGCUUGCACCUGGGCCGCCGCUGGUCGCCUGCACAGCCACGCGUUACAGCCGCCCCCCUGCGCUGGGCCACCCCAUUUCGUGUUGGAAGAACUGCCACAGUCUCGCGCACUGGGGUUUUGCUAGUGACGACCAUAGCCUCCAAGAUCAAAUGAAAAAGUUGGUACUCAAAACAUACAUCCAUUAAUCUAGUCGUGCUAAUCCUUACCACCAAAUAAAAACUAGCAUGUGUUGUGUUUUUGUGACCCUAAACGAUCACAAAUGAAUAACUUAUGGGCGUUGCUAGCCUAUAAGUUAUGGGCGUUUGUGACCCUAGUCGCGCCGGGGUCUUGCUGGUGACAACCAUGGUCUUCGCGAUAAAGUAUUAAGUCUCAUCGAGUUCUACAAUUUUGAUAUAAAAUUUCUAUUCAUCCGAGAUCAAAUGAAAAACAAAUGAAAAAAUCCGAAGUAUUAGGCUUCAUCGAGCUCUACAAUUUUGAUAUAAAAUUUCUAUUCAUCCGAGAUCAAAUGAAAAAAUCCGAGAUCAAAUGAAAAGUUGGAACUCAAAACAUACAUCCAUUAAUCUUGAUAUAAAAUUUCUAUUCAUCCGACAUCAAAUGAAAAAGUUGGUACUCAAAAUAUACAUCCUUUAAUCUAGUCGUGCUAAUCCUUACCACCAAAUAAAAAAACUAGCAUGUGUUGUGUGUUUCUGACCGUAAACGAUCACAAAUGAAUAACUUAUGGGUGUUGCUAGCGUCCCGGACGCUAGCAUCGGACGCAUGAGCAGCCGUCCGAUCGGGUCCGACACCACUUCACGAUCUGUCUUAAAAAAAAGUCCCACCGAAACAUUGUUCCAUGUUGCAUGAAAUACCCCACUAUCCAUCGCCAGGUCUACAGCAAGCACCACCUUCCAAUCUGCUGCUCACCCAAGCUAAAUAGGGGCAUUAAAAUUGCAGAAAUAUGUCACAUAUCCUUGUCAAAUUAAACUAAAUCGCAACAUCCGAAAAUUUCUUACACAAAACCAUGAAACAUAUCGAUUAGAUAGGUGUAACAAGAUGGAAUAUGGUAUCCAACAUAUAGAUUCCGAAAAACAGAUGAAACAUUAUGUAACGAUUGUUGAAACAGUCGAGAAAUAUAGAUGUAACGAUUAAAAUUUAGAAAAGAAGCUUUAUGCAAAUUGCAAAAAGCUGAAAUAAGUGGUUGAAACAUUUCGAAUCACCAAAUGCCACAUUUGAAAUGGCUACAUGAAACAUCACGAAAUCAAUUGCAACAGUUGAAGAUGAAAACAUUCAAAUGCCUUGCCUUUCUCCAGAUUUGACCCUCCAAGCAUGAGUCCAGCCAUUUGCACAUUAGACCCUUGGGAGGAGCUCACCGGAGAACAACAAGACCGUGUUCUCCAACAAUUUUCUGAUCAAAUUGCAACAGACAAAACAAAGCAUUGCAACAUCUGGCAUCACGAGCUACAACAUCAACAAGUUAGGAUCAGGAGAAAGAGGGAAAACACAAGCCUAACAACCCCAAGACAAAACUGAUGUACUCAUCAUACAUCACGGCUUGCCGUGCACAGAGAUGAAGGCCGCCAAGCUCAAUCGAGACAGAGACGACGUGAUAGUGCUCCAGAUCGACGGUCCCCAUCAAUUGUUGCGUACACUGCCAAAAGCAAUGGAAGAAGAAGGGUCGUCCCUGCUCGACCUCCGUAGAUGAGCGCAGAUUGGGGGAAACCGUAUAGAGUGCCGCUGACAGCACAGGCGAGGGGGCUCAGGCUUGAUUCAGGGUGAGGGUAGCGGGUAGCAUGAGGAGACAGUCAGGUUUCAUAGGAGAGAGGCGGAGUAGAGAGCUCUGGUGACUCGGUGAGGAGGGUGCGGCACGGAGAAAGGUGUGUAGCUGAAGGAGCUACAUGGUUGGGGCGAGGCGAGCGUAGAGACUAGAGAGGGAAAAAAAGCAUGGGGAGGAGACGAUAUGUGGUUGAUGGUGCGGGCACGUGGUGAGCGCACCGUAUGAAAAUUUUGCUCGCGUCGGAUGACUGAUGUGAAGCAUUACCCAAUCUUAAUUAUCUCCCAUAAUCCAAAACUCACAAAAACAUCAAAAAUCCGCCGAGAAUAAAUUAAGUAAACCAUGCACACACAGAUAAUAAAAUUGCUAAUAAGGCCAGAGAUAAUACAUGAACAUAUUAGACUGUUCAUGACACAUAUCACGGUGGAUAGUGUCUGUGUCCUUAUUACAAGCAAUGAGAGAUGCUUGUCACCACACACACGCGCACAGAUGCAUGACAUACAUAUAGUUGAGACCAACAGAUGGAUCAACUAGAGGUCACCCCAUAUGGUGAACAAUUUAUUGGAGAUAAACAUUAACAUAACUUGGCCAUAGCUUGAAGCAUAGCAACAUAUGCCUAUGAAUGGCGUUCAUGCUAUCGUUUUAGGCUUGUCCAGCUUCUUUCAUCUUAGCAAGCACUUCCAUUUCUACCAUCUUAGCAGCAACUGUCAAAUUGAGAUAUGGAAAUCCCAUUAGCGCAUGAUUAAUUUUGCAGUGGAAAUAGAGUGCAAGAUAUCUUCAUGAUGUAAAUAACAUGCCUGAAGUUGUGAGAUGGGAAGUGAAGUCAACAAAUUACAUUAACGGAAAUGCAUGGAAGGCCACACAUACGUAUUAGUCCAUAAUACGCUACAAAGCUUGUAUGUACAUAUAGCAAAUUAAAUGCAUUAAUUGAAUAGAGUGAGUUUAGUGAAUUUACCAGAAUCGUCCAGAAAACAUGGGAAACAGCAAGUGUGCUUGCAGACUGUGUCGGAGCCACCCACACGAAUACAAAGCUGACAACAUGCUUGUGCCUCGUGGGAUACGCAGCAGCCGCACUGUGCCGCGGUGGCCGAGUUAACAUUGAGGCUCAAGAUGAACAGGCACAUGAUCACCAUCAAAGUGGUAGUCCUCUUUCCCUCCAUUGCCUCCUGUCGCUGCUACCUUCCUUGGUUACUAGUAAGUUUAUUGGUUUUGUGUUGAGAGGUGAUUCUUGCAUUGAAUGGACGUUGCCGCGGCUGCAAUUUAUAGGCAGCUGCGCUAUGUGAUGAUAUGGACAAGGUGCAAAUGGGUGGUCCUGAUAU